UUUGUCUGAUAACCAACUCAACGGUAAUCUUGAGCUUGGGAAUAUAUCUUCACCACCUAAGCUACGAGUGUUAGUCGUUGGCAAUAACAAGUUGAGAGGGCUGAUUCCGGGCACGAUAUCUAAAUUUACCAACCUUGUCAGACUUGACCUUUCCCGUUACACAACACAAGGUCAAGUUGACUUUAGUAUCUUCUCACAUCUCAAGUGGCUCAAACUUCUUGAUCUAUCCGAUUUGAACGCGACCACUACGAUUGACAUGAAUGAUUUCUUGUCAUAUUUUAAGAGGCUCGGUGUGUUGGAUCUCUCAGGCAACCAUGUUUCAGCCACAAACAAGAGUCCAAUUUCAGAUCCCUCUUCUUUGUAUCAGUUGUACUUGUCAGGCUGCGGUAUCACCGAGCUCCCGGAGUUUGUAAGAUUGCAAAAUAUGGAGAAGCUAGACAUUUCUAACAAUAAAAUCAAAGGACAAGUGCCUGGCUGGUUAUGGAAGAUACCAAAGCUGAUUUACCUGAAUCUUUCCAACAACACCUUCACUGGCUUCGAAAACUCAACGAAACAUGGGCUAUCUUUAAUGGCCUUGUUAGCCUCCAACAACAAUUUCACGGGAAAGAUUCCCUCUUUAAUAUGUGAUUUGCGCUUUGUAUUCAUUCUUGAUUUAUCAAACAACAACUUCAAUGGUUCAAUCCCUCGUUGUCUGGGAAAUCUCAACUAUACUCUUACAGAUCUAAACCUUGGUCAAAAUCAUCUUCAUGGAGGUCUUCCGGAGAAUAUAUUUGGAAACUUAAGAGCGCUUGACGUCGGUCAUAACCAACUUACGGGAAAGCUUCCAAGAUCUUUGAUCCGGUUCUCUAGUCUUGAAGUUCUGAACGUGGAAAGCAACUUCUUCAAUGAUACGUUUCCAUUUUGGUUGAGUUUUCUACCAGAGUUAAAAAUUCUUGUGUUACGCUCCAAUGCCUUCUAUGGAACGAUACAUCAUACUUCGUUCCCUAAAUUGCAAAUCAUCGACAUAUCGCACAAUCACUUCAAUGGAGCUUUGCCUUCACACUACUUUGUGAAGUGGAGUGCUAUGUCAUCACUUGGGUCAAUUUAUUAUCAGCCUGAUGAAAUGUACAUGGGAGAUUCAUAUUACCAUGAUUCAGUGGUGUUGAUGAAUAAAGGUAUAGAGAUGGAGCUUGUACGUAUCCUAAAGAUCUACACAGCACUCGACUUUUCAGGGAACAAAUUUGAAGGAGAGAUCCCAAGGUCCAUUGGUCUAUUAAAAGAGCUUCUUGUGCUCAACUUGUCGAACAAUGCUUUCACUGGCCACAUCCCUUCAUCUAUGGGAAACUUGACAGCUCUUGAGUCAUUGGACGUUUCCCAAAACCAGCUUUCAGGAGAAAUUCCGCAAGAGCUAGGGGAACUCUCAUUCCUUUCGUACAUGAACUUCUCUCAUAACAAGCUUACAGGUCUAGUACCAGGAGGCACUCAGUUUCGAAGGCUGAACUGCACUUCUUUUGAGGAUAAUCCGGAACUUUCUGGCCCUUCUCUUGACGAAAUUUGCAGAGAUAUUCACACGCCAACACCGCAUGAACCGUCGGAAGAAGAAGAAGAAGAAGAGGAAGAGGUGUUGAGUUGGAAAGCAGCUGUAAUAGGAUUCAUACCUGGUAUUGCCUUUGGAUGGGUGAUUGGAUAUAUACUUUUUUCCUACAAACCACAGUGGUUCUUCAUGAACCCUUUUGCCCGAAACAAGCGCAGAAUCAGCAGCACCACUACUCAUUAAAGUUCUUUGUUGGCAGUUUUUUUUUACGUUUUAUUAAACUUCUUUGUUUCUCUGUAAUUGAACAACUAUGUUUCUUAAGCUGAAAGUUACAAGCACAGUCAAAGAUGUGUCGUUUUUUCCCCUCUUGUGAAUCUAAACAUCAACUGUUUAGACGUGAGACGAGCAAUGAACAGAUGAUCCACAUCAACGUUAUAAUCAACACAGGGCUUUAGAAAAGGAUCAAUACUAUUAAAAAGGAAAAAGUUUUAAAAAAUCUACUUAAAAAAAAUUGUUGCAUCCUUUCAUUUUUAGUCCAACCUAUAAUAUAUAACCAAAUAUUAUAAUAACAUUUAUUAUAACAACCAAAUAAGAUUCUAGCGAAUAUCUUUCUCUAAUAGUUUUGGUAAUAUAUUAAUUCUCUAAUUGUUAGAUAUUUGUUCAUUAUUUAGAAAAUCUGUGUGACAUAUCUGGUCUAUUAAAAAUAUGUAUCACUAGAUAUUACGGAUUACGGUUACCAAAUAACAUUUGAAAAGAGUUUUUGUAUAUAUGUCGAUAUGUUACAUUGCAUUCAAAUAUAUAGGUUACUUUCGUGGUUUUCAAAUGAAUCAGUCCAAAUCUUAUAGUUUUCUAGAUUCCCUAAUAAUAUAAUUGUACAAUAUUAUACUAUAUUUUCUUAUAUCACACAUUAGUAUAUUAAAUAUAUAUUUACUUAUCCCAUGCGGUAAUAUAGUUAAAGGGAUAAUGAUGUAUUCCUAUAUACUAGGGACUUAGGUUUAUCUACACGUUCAUAGAUUCUAUAUUCUCGUUGUAUAAGUACCAAGAUUGGUUGAUGAAUAAACACAGACUUUACAUUAUAUUUUAUGGUAUCAGAGCUAAGAUUUCAUAACUUAUUUUUUUUUUUCAAUACUAUUGAUCUUCUUCUAUCUUCUACUACUACGGUUCAUCAACCAUAAUGGCUGAGCACGACACGCCAGCUGUUUCUACAACUACGCAGGCGACUUCCAGAGAUUCGUCACCAUACUAUCUACACCCAUCAGACAAUCCUGGAGCCCUUAUUACUUCUGUUCUACUUAAACAAGACAACUAUACUGAAUGGGCUACAGAACUCCGAAAUUCUCUCCAAGCGAAACAGAAAACAUGUUUUAUUGAUGCUACCAUUCCAAAACCUACAGACGGACCAGACUUAUCGCGAUGGCUUGCAGCAAAUUCUAUGAUUGUCGGAUGGAUUCGCACUUCAAUCGAUUCAAAACUCAGAUCAACAGUUACUCAUGUGCCUGAAGCACACAAGCUUUGGGAAUCUCUGCGUUUUCGUUUUUCUGUCAAAAACGGGACCCGUCUACAUCAGCUACAAGAUGAAAUAACAAAUUGCAAGCAAGAUGGACAGACGGUCCUUGACUACUAUGGUCGGUUAACUAAACUCUGGGAAGAGUUGCAGAAUAUGAAGACAACUCGACCUUGUACGUGUGCUGCUGCGACUGAUAUUGAAAAAGAAAGAGAAGACGCGAAAGUUCAUAAAUUCUUGUUUGGUCUAGACGACUCGCGAUUCUCUGCCAUCCGUUCUCGCAUCACCGACGAAGAUCCAUUACCGGAUCUCAAUAUUGUUUACUCAAGGGUGAUUCGUGAGGAGCAAAACAUGGCAACUACCCGAUCUAAAGAGCAACGAACCGAAGCUUUAGGGUUCUCAGUUCAAACCGAGAAUUCCAAAGAGUUGGUUUCUGCCAAAACUGAUACUACUCCACGACCAAGAGAUCCUUCUCGAACUUGUACCCAUUGUGGUCGUACAGGUCACGAUAUAACAGAGUGCUUCUUGGUCCAUGGCUUUCCUGACUGGUACACUGAACAACAACAACAACGCAAUGGUUCAUCAUCAUAUCGAGGUGGACGUGGUGGUCGUUCUAACAACAAUCGUGGGCGUGGCCGCGGAAGAGCUAAUGCUGCACAAAGCAAUUCUCACCAACAAUCGGAUCAGAUUGCAUCUCUGAUCGCACUUCUCCAAAACCAACAAAGCAAUUUAUCAUCGGAACGCUUGUCGGGUAAAACAAUGCUUACUGACGUUAUUAUUGAUACAGGGGCAUCACACCAUAUGACGGGUGAUAUAUCAUUAUUACAUGAUGUCUAUGAUAUCCCAUCAUCAUCGGUUACAUUUCCUAAUGGACGUGAUUCUCUUGCUACGAAGCAAGGAUCUCUGCGUCUCAGCAAGGAUUAUGUGCUUCACGAUGUUCUCUGUGUCCCCGAUUUCUAUUGCACACUCAUAUCAGUUUCGAAACUUUUAAAACAAACUGGAUGCAUAGCAAUAUUUACUGAUACAUUGUGUGUUUUACAGGACCGUUUUUCGAGGACUCUGAUUGGAGCAGGUGAAGAACGUGAGGGGGUGUACUAUUUUACGGGGGUUAAGGUUGCACGAAUUCAUGGAGCUUCUAAGACAAAAUCUUCUUCUUCAACUCUGUGGCAUCGUCGACUUGGCCAUCCAUCCUACAAAGCUUUGUCUUCUUUACCGGUGUUUCAGAAUUUUAAAAUAGAUUUUAGUGAGUCUAAAUGUGAUAUUUGUUUCAAAGCAAAACAGACUCGCCAAGUGUUUCCCGAUAGUCUUAAUAAAGCUGUUUUUCCUUUUGCAUUAAUCCACUGCGAUGUUUGGGGACCUUAUAGAACACCAGCCUCUUGUGGGGCUGUAUACUUUCUUACCAUAGUGGAUGAUUACUCGCGAGCUGUAUGGACUUAUUUGAUGCUUGAAAAAUCAGAAGUCUCUUCUCUUAUACGCAACUUUUGUGCGAUGAGUGAACGCCAGUUUGGACAUAAAGUACAGACCAUACGGACAGAUAAUGGAACGGAAUUCAUGACACUCGGACCUUACUUUCGCGAGACCGGUAUCAUUCAUCAGACAUCUUGUACCUAUACACCCCAACAAAACGGUAGAGUGGAAAGGAAACACAGACACAUAUUGAAUGUGGCUCGUGCCUGCAUGUUCCAGUCACGAUUACCUAUUGAAUUUUGGGGAGAGAGCAUCUUGGCUGCGGCUCACGUCAUUAACCGAACACCUACUAACAUUCUUAAUGGUAAAACGCCUUAUGAAGUUCUUCAUGGUCGACCACCUAUCUAUGAGCAGUUAAGAGUGUUUGGUUGCCUCUGUUACGCUCACCUAAGACCUCGUGACAGAGACAAAUUUGCUACAAGAAGUCGAAAAUGCAUAUUCGUAGGUUACCCCUUUGGCAAGAAAGCUUGGCGCUUGUAUGAUGUCGAAACUAAUGAGUUUAUUGUUAGCCGGGAUGUGGUGUUUUUCGAGGAUCAGUUUCCAGGUAUUGAAGACUUACCUUCGGUUACAGUACCAGUUUCACAAACUGCUCUUCCUAUUGACGACUGGUUGAUAAAUUUUGAAACUCCAGUUCUCUCUACUACACCUGAACCUUCUCCUACUAUACCCACGACUUCCUCUCCUACUCACAAUACUACUACUACACCUGAUGUUUCUUCUCCGCCUUUACCAUCUACACCUACUGCCCCGUCUACAAGCAAUUCCCCACCAGAUACUGUUGUCCAACCAACUCCUAACCCUACUUCUGCAUCUCCACUACCGUCUCCAUCUUCACCAAUACGUGAUCAUGACAUAUCGGGAUCUUCUCCUGGCCUACUUGAUCUUCUUGGACGUGGUCAUCGAACAAAGAAACCAUCGGUCUUAUUGAAGAAUUUUCUCACGAACUCUGCAACUACAAACACCCCUCACGUUCUCAACAAGCAAUAUCAGAGUUCUCCAUCAACGGUCUCAGGUAAGACACUGUAUCCCAUUGCUGAUUACUCAUCUACCUCUGCUUUUACUGCUAACCACCAGGCGUUUCUAGCAAAAAUUACUACAGAUUUUGUUCCAAAGAAUUAUAAAGAAGCCGUCAAUGAUCCAAGGUUCAACGGUGCAAUGAAAACAGAGGUAACAGCUUUAGAAGCUAACCAUACUUGGGACAUUACAGCUCUCCCUCCUGGCAAGAAGGCAAUCGGGUGUGGCUGGAUUUAUACAAACAAGUAUAAAGCAGAUGGUACUCUUGAACGACCAAAAGCUCGCCUGGUUGCUCGUGGUAAUAGACAAAAAGAGGGACUUGAUUACAAAGAUACAUUCGCCCCUGUGGCAAAGAUGAAUACGGUUCGGUUUCUUCUGAAAGUUGCGGCUGCUAAGCGAUGGGAGAUCCACCAAAUGGAUGUCCACAACGCGUUUCUACAUGGAGAUCUCGAAGAAGAAAUAUAUAUGGAACUUCCUCCUGGUUUUAAAUCUGAUGAUCCAUCCAAAGUUUGUCGUCUUCGGAAGUCUUUGUAUGGUCUUAAACAAUCUCCUCGCUGCUGGUUUGCGAAACUUAGUCAAGCUCUCAAGUCGUUUGGCUUUGUUCAAAGCUACGAGGAUUACUCUCUGUUCUCAUUCAUGGAAGCUAACAUAUGUCUCCAUAUUCUGGUUUAUGUGGAUGAUUUUAUAAUUGCUGGCAAUGACGCUGCUACUAUUCAAAGAUUCAAGGAUUACUUACAUCGAUGCUUCAAAAUGAAAGACUUAGGCAAACUUAAAUAUUUUUUGGGUUUGGAAAUUGCUAGAGGACCUGAAGGGAUAUUUGUCUCUCAGAGGAAGUAUGCACUCGAUAUCAUAACCGAGUGUGGCUUACUUGGAGCGAAACCAGCGCCAGUCCCAACUGAACUCAACCACAAACUUGCACUCGCCAAGGGCAUGAGACUUCAGGAUCCGGGCAAGUAUCGUCGUCUUGUUGGACGAUUGAUAUAUCUUACUUUCACACGUCCGGAGCUAAGCUACAUUGUUCACAUUCUAUCACAAUUUAUGCAUAAACCGCUUGAAGAUCACUGGGCAGCUGCGUUACGAGUCAUCCGCUAUCUUAAAGGCUGUCCAGACCAAGGUAUCAUGCUGUCUUCCGACGCAAACCUUACUCUUACCGCAUACUCUGACUCGGAUUGGUCUGCGUGUCCUAUAACACGUCGUUCUCUAAGUGCCUACGUUGUUCUUCUUGGUGAUUCUCUUGUUUCGUGGAAAACAAAGAAGCAACGGACAGUGUCUAGAUCAUCAGCUGAAGCUGAGUAUAGAUCAAUGGCAGAUACUACAUGUGAGUUAAAAUGGCUCAAACGACUUCUUCUCCAGUUCGGCUUCUUUCAUCCUCAACCCAUGAGACUUUUCUGUGACAGUCAAUCUGCGCUCCAUAUUGCUAAGAAUCCUGUGUUCCAUGAACGUACCAAACAUGUCGAAAAUGAUUGUCACUUUGUUCGAGAUGCUGUGCGUGACAAGCUUAUUACUACUGAACACAUUACAACGAGGAAUCAGCCUGCGGACUUACUUACCAAAGCCUUGCCCACUCCGACAUUUCAUCAUUUGUUGUCCAAGUUGGGAAUUCGAGAUAUGUCAUUACCAACUUGAAGGGGGGUAAAGGGAUAAUGAUGUAUUCCUAUAUACUAGGGACUUAGGUUUAUCUACACGUUCAUAGAUUCUAUAUUCUCGUUGUAUAAGUACCAAGAUUGGUUGAUGAAUAAACACAGACUUUACAUUAUAUUUUAAUAGUACUCAUUUUCAAACUGUACUAUUAAUCAAUUUUCACUGUUUGGCUUCUUAAAAUAUUGGCUAGGUAAUUUAAAAUAUAUGAAUAGUAGCCAAUCAAAAACUUUAAGUUCUAAACUAAUAUUUGAUUGUUUAAACUUUUACUAAACUAUCCUAGAUUUUUUCCAAUUCUAAUAAUAAUAAUAAUAAUAAUAAUAAUAAUAAUAAUAAUAGAAAAGAGAGUAGGCUUAGGCAUUCGAUUUUUAGGUCAGGUACGGAUCAGUUUCUUUCGCGCAUAGGUCUUUCGGAUCCUAGACAUUUAGACCUAAGUAGGUAUUUGAAUUUUUUUUUUGUUUUGGGUUGGUGUCAGUUCUUCUUGUGUUUGGAUCAAUAAUUAAGAUACAUGUAAACUACAUAUAAUUUUUGGAUACCUAAUGAGUUCAGAUCGGUUCAGAUAUUUAGGAUCUAAAAAAGAUUCGAAGUACCAAAAACUUUAAAAAUACAUGAAACACAAAAAUAUUCAAAAGUAUUUAAAUACUCAAAAUGAUGUGAAUAUAUUAUUCAUUAAUAUAAUUGUUUUUGUACUGUUUUUAUCUUGUGCAGUUUUGAAAGUGCAAUAUGUAUUAUACUAAUUUAUGUCAUUAAUUUAAAUGACUAACAAAUGAUUGAAAAAAAAAAAUUUCAUAUGAACAUGUUUAUUUUCAAUCUGUUCAUCAUCAAAUGUAAUGGCAUGUAUAAAUGUUAAUUGUAUAACGUGAUGUAUCAUAGAUGAAAGAUUGCAAAAAAAAAAAAAUUAACAUCGAAAACUCAUUGCAAAUAAUCUAAGAGUUUUGGAGUAAUACAACCAAACAAUUAAACUCUAAAUCACCAAUAUACAACAUAAUAAACCUCAAUAAAACAGAGAUAAUGUAGAAAAAUACAGAUUUAAAAUGACAAUGACAAUGACAAAGAUGAUACAUUACCAUUUUUGGUUCAAUUAUUAAAUGAAACAUACUUUUUAUGAAUCAGACUUAGUAUAGGUUAUUGAGUCAAAUAUUUAAAUCAUACAAAUAAUUCAAUAUCACAUAUAUGUAUGGCCAAAACCUAUAUAUAGGUUAACAUAGAUGUAUGUCAAAAAUCUAAAAUACAAGUAUACCAUCAAUGAAAUAUCUAAGUUAGUGUUAAAUUAAGUGUCAUUUUUCGUUAAUAUAACUUAAACUUAAUAAGAAAAAUACCACUAACAAUUUUUUUUUGACAACAAUACCACUAACAAUUUAAAACAAUAAAUUAAAUUAUUGCAUGUGAACUAUAAAAUUUUAUAUCACUAAUCAUGUAAAACAAAUAUGUAUAUGUUAUGAACCAGAUUGUGGAUGGUUCAUAACCAAGAGAUUAUGAUUUGUAAUCUUUCCAUUUAUUUAUGACGGUGUAAUCUUCUAUAUAAGAAACCUCUAUGUUAUGAAUAAAGAUAGAUUUUUCCAUUACUUUUAUAACACGUUAUCAGCACGAAACUCUAAAUCUCUAAGCUAAUACCCAAAUAGGAAAACCCUAAAACCCUAACCCUAGCCGGUGAUCCGACGAACCCUAAACCCCGAUCGCGUCUCUUGUUCCCGCAUCUGUUCCAGCUCGCGUCCCCGAUCAACUUCAGCCCAAGGCAUUCAUGAUCCUAGCUCAGACGUUCGCGGCCCGAGAGCAGCUCCAGCACGCGACAUCUUCCUCGUUCGCUACAACAUCAGACAGCUCGCGUCCCGUUCGUGCCCAGCUCGUGGCUCAACUCCUUUGGUGGUCCGAUUCAACAAUCAUCUAAGGUUAAAAGGUAUUUCAAAACCUAAGAACCCAUAAUCGAACAUGGAUUGAUUGAUAAAAAAUGAAACCCUAAAACCCUAAUCUUUAUGAAUCAAAACCAUAGGGUAAUAGAUCAAAAAUCCUAAUUGAGUAAUUUGAGGUUUAAAUCCGUGUGAGUUAGGAUUGAUAGUUUUUAUAACCUGAUUGAAUGAUUUGAGGUUUAAUAUUGCAUGUUAGAAUCUGUUAUAAUAUAAACCCUAAUUCGAAUUGAUAAACCCUAAAAUAGAAUCUGUGUAUUGCAUAAUCCGAAUUGAAUGUUUUGAGGUUUCAUAUUAUACUAGGUUGAUAGUUUCAUGAUAUAAUCAAUUGUUCUGAGGUUUAAUAUUAUUUGCUAGAAGCUGAUUGAUUGAUAAAACCCUAAUUUCGAUUGAAACCCUAAACCCUAAUUUGCGUAUUCCUAAAAUCAGAUUGCUUGAUUCCAUCUUGCUAAUAUCAGCCUUGAAACGGAUAAAUAUCAGCCUUGAAACGGAUUAAUAAAAUUGAUAGAAUCAGCCUUGAAACUGAUUGUUUUGGUUUUUCAUGCUUCAAACCCUAUUUUUGGAUCGAAACCCUAAAUUGUGUAAUGCUUAAAUCCGUUUGAUUACUUUUGAUUAUUGAUCCAAUUGCUACUCUUGAUAAAACCUAAUUGAAUCUGAUUGUUAGUCUAGCUAAAUCUCAUACCUGAAACUGAUUGAUUAAUUGUUAAAUCUUGAUUGAAUGUUUUAAUAUUACCCUUGCACAUAUAGAAUCCGAUUGCUAAGAUUGAGUGCAUCAUAUCUACUUGGCCGUGUGGCCAGUUUGCAUCAUAUCUACUUGGCUGAUUGAUUACGCGUUUAAGCACACACCAAUUAACCUAAUGUGCCAACAAUACCACAAUCGAAUGGUAUGUCAUUGUAGCAUUUUAGGAUCGAAUCCACAGAGAACUAGAGACUUAUAACACCAAGAAUACACAAACCUUCCUAAUCUAAGCAAACAAGAAGAUAGAUGAUUUGUAACAAACUAAUAUCCUAGAAAUAUAAACAAGGUGAUCUCAGAUCCAAUCAAGAAAUAAGUGCAAGAAUUCAAUCAAAUACUAAGGAUGGAUCCAUGGUAAGGAUAAUUGAUAUAAAAUGAUCAAGGUUCAAUCUAAAGGUGGCAACAUUCAAUCAAUCUAUCAACCUUAGGCUUAGACACAAUCCUAAACAAACUCUAUCUCUAGAUGGAUGUUCAUUCACUAAGAUAACUCAAGCAUCAAAUCUCUUUGGUUGAAUAUUAUCUAAGCAAUCAUUAAAAUCAAGUCUAUUAGCCAUUUUAACACCUUUAACAACAAAUCUCUUUGGUAAAGAAUGUUAAAAGCUUAGGAGAGUUGGUUCAGACAUUUCAUCAANNNNNNNNNNNNUGUUUCUUGCCCACUCUUUUGAUAAUAAGAAAGCAAAUAUUAUACAGAAAAGUAGGAAAAAUCGUGCAAAGGAAAGGUGGGUGGAAGAAAGUGGGAAGUUGGUUAAUCCCAUCAACUUUCCAGUGGUCCCCGGCAAGGGUUGAUACACCUGUAGUAAAUCGAUUAUAACUUAUCCAAUACAGCUCCAAAUGACUUGAAACCACUUCCAUUGGAAAGCUAACUCAAUUUCCAGUGUCUCCACAAAUUUUGAGCUUCAGAAAAGAUCUUUAAGGCUUUCAUCCGUGUUCAUCUUUCACUCUCCGGAUUCGGGAGCGACCUCGCUGUGUCGCUGCGAGAGGUCGCUCCGGAUUCGUUGUCUCCGGGUGAUCAAUACGCGAGCGACUCUUCCCUGUCGCUCUAGUAAGGUCGCUCUGAUAGGGAGAUCAUAGCGACGUCAAGGUGUCGCUCCGGACUGGUCGCUCCGGGCGAUCAAUACGCGAGCGACUCUUCCCUGUCGCUCUAGUAAGGUCGCUCUGAUAGGGAGAUCAGAGCGACGUCAAGGUGUCGCUCCGGACUGGUCGCUCCCAUGCCUUGCUCGCCGAAUGACCACUCUAAACACUACUUUUUGACUCCAAUUGCACUCAAAAUCCCACCAAUGGUCCUCUAAUUCAUCCAUGGUGCUCUCCAACACCUGAUAUGUACAAAUGCAAUGAUAUGCAACCUAAAUGUGCCUAAAUGAUGCUCUAAAUGACCAAACCAUGCAAGAAUAAGAAGUUAAAAACAUGUAAAUUCACAAGAUAUCACUGUGUGGCCAGUUUGCAUCGUAUAUCAUCAUGACCAACAUGUUUAUGUUAUACGCAUGAUCUGAUUAUUAUCACCUUUGCAUGAUCUGAUUGUUUUAAAUUAAGGUUCCAUAAUUCCACUCAUGUACAUAUAGAAUCAGUAUGCUAGGUUUGCAUUAUAACCAUAUGACCACAUAUUGAUCAAAAAAAAAACAUAUGGCCACAUGAAAACAUAUAGAAAUUGCUUGUUUUGUCGAUACCCUUGCUUGAUAAAUCUGUGUGACUUAUUAUGCAUCAUAUAUCACUUUGGCCGUGUGGCCUUAUUGCAUUAUAUCACAUUUGGCCGUGUGGCUUGUUUGCUUAUUAGAAAUGUAUUGACUUGAUAGCAUGUCUUGUUUAUGGCCGUGUUUUAAAUAUUUUAUGAGAUCUAAAAUUGAUUGAUAUAUUAUUUGAGAUGUCGAAAAUCAACUUGGAUUUUGCUGCCCUAAAUCUCUCAUGAGAUAAUUAUUUGAAAUAGGCACUGGAUACUGAGUUUAUCUUAAAGUCAAAGGACUUGGUGAAUGAAUCACAAAAGGCGAUAAUGCCAAAUGAGAAAGAUUGAUACAUGGCAAUAUUAAUUAUUAGCCAUCAUCUUAAAAAGAGCCUCAAAGAUCAGUAUCUGACUAUAGAGAAUCAUCUAGACCUUUGGACAGAGUUAAAAAAAAUCGAGAAAUGAUCACCAAAGAACGGUGUUAUUACCAACGACCCUAUUUGAUUGGAGGAAUCCCAGAUUCCAGGACUAUAAGUCCGUGGAUGAGUCUAUUGCUAGCUGGGCAAAAUAAUGGAUUACUGAUGAGAAAAAGUGACUUGAGACCUCCUGGAUUAACCCUAUUACCUGAUUCCAAUAAGGCCGCAGAAAAAAAAAAAAAGGUAACCACGUCCAGAAUGAUAGACCACACGGUCAUAGCCGUGGAGGGUGGAAAGGACGUGGCCAUGGCCACUAUAACACAUUUGGCCGUGGUAAUCACUAUGGCAGAGGCCGUGGGUAUCAACCCAAUUUGAGCCAUGGUCAAGGCAGUGGCCGUGGUAUAUCCUUUAAACCACAAAGCUCGACCAAGUCAGUGUGCCAUAGAUGGAAUGGGAAACCAUUGGGCUAAGAUAUGAAGGACUCCCAAACAUUUUUGUGACCUCUAUCAAAGAGGGUCUGAAAGGGAAGAAUCCUGAAACACACUUGGUCUAUAAAGAUGGUGAAAAUAAUCUCGAACAUGAUCAAGAUGAUCUUAUGGAAUAUGAGACUUAUGAUUAUCUAAAAGAAUCAAGUUGAUAAUCUGAUUUCGACAUCAAACUUGUGUGAUUGCUUUGCUUGUAUGCUUUCUCUGAUUUUUAUCUCCUUGAAUUUAUUUCUAUUACAUUGUCUGCUUAGAUUAAAUGAAUGAAUGAUUUUUCUAUAUGAGUACACUGAAAAACGCCAAUAUAAGUACUAAAGCAGGUAUCGCCAGUCUGAAAGAAGACUAUGGCUAGGCUAAUAUAUUAUUGCCUAAGGGUAUGCAUCUAGAAAUCAGUGAUGCCUUAUAUUCACCCAGCUCUAAGAGCAAGAGCAGCCUAUUGAGUUUUAAAGAUAUAAGAAUGAAUGGUUUCCAUAUUGAAACAAUGGGCGAAGGAAACAAAGAGUUCCUUCAGAUAUAUGUAUAAAAUCGCCCAAGGCCAUAAUAAGUCCUAAAGACUAUACAUGCAUUCUCUACCGACCUAGACUAUGCAUAAAUCAGUAUGAUUGAGGCUAAAAGCCUGCGAAAAUAUACACUUUAUGGCACGACCGGAUUGGCCAUCCUGGUCCAAACAUGAUGCGAAAAUUGAUAUUCAAAAGGCACACAUUAAAAGAUAAGAAGAGUUAUCCCAAAGAAUCUCACGUGUGUAGCAUGUACACAAGGAAAACUCAUUAGGCCAUCACCAGUAAAACGGCUACGAGCCCCUUUUUCAUAAUAAAUACUAUAUGUAUAGAUACUACUGGUGAAUACAUGUCCCAAGCGUUUAAAUGAUUAUGGUAUGUCCAUAGGGGUAAGUGUGGACAAUUCUGUGAUACAUGUCCAUACCAAGAAAGGAUAUACCAUAACUUAUGAGGUCAAAACUCCCAUUCACAGCUUGGGCCACACGAAAUUUACAUGCACCUAAGCUAAUACGCAUCAUGCUAUUUAGUGAGCAUAGAUAUCCCGUAUCACAAUUAUUAACGGGUCAAAAGCCAGACAUACCCCAUCAUAAGACAUUUGGAUGUGCUGUCUAUGUACUAAUUGCUCCACCACAGAGAACUAAGAUGAGACCUCAAAAGGAGGAUGGGGAUAUAUGUUGGAUAUGAUUCUCCCACAAUAAUAAAAUACUUUGAGCCAACUAUGAGUGAUUAAAUUUGAGGCCAGGUACACGGAUUAUUUUAAGACUAGGAGGAGAGAAAAAUAAUAAAGCUGGUAAAAGAAUGGUAAAAGAAAUAGAAUGGAAUCAACCAUCAAUGUCUUGGCAAGAUCCUCGGACUAAAGAAUGUGAAAUAGACGUCUAAAGAUUAUACAUUUACAAAGCUAGCUAAUCAAAUGCCAGACACAUUUGCUGACCCGGAAAAGAAUGACUAAGUCAUAUAUAAACCAGCUUGUAAAGCACCAACGAAUUUGAUGUCGAAGAAGAGACACAGUCAAGUUGAUACAGAUUCUAGACAACGUAUGAACGUGGUGGACCAAUAGGUUCCAAAAGAUAAGAAUCCUCGGAAACAAAAGAAAUGUGCAGAGAAUGAUAAUCAAAAUCCAAAUCCGAGGUUACUAAGGAAACCAUCCCAGACAUGGAGAUAAGGCCGGCCGGCUCUAAGGUAGAGGUACCAAACAAUGUAGCUUGGGACGCCAAGCUGCAAAAUAUAAAGGUCCUGAUAAUAAUGAAUCUCAAUCGAUUAUAUCAAGUAUGGAACAUAAUGGAACCAAUAAGGAAUGUCGACAUAAGAUGAUUUAUUUGCAUACAAGGUAGCACUUGAAUUUAUGAAUAUAAGCGAAGAUCAUGAACCCACGUCAAUAUAAGAGUGCGCACUCGUAGAACAGAUUGGAUUUAAUGGAAACAUGGGGUUAAAUAGUUUAAAGAAUAAAGGUAUAUUUGGCCAUAUGAUUAAGACGCCAUAUGAUGUUAAAACCAGUGGAUAUAAAUGGGUCUUGUGAGAAAUAGAAAUAGUGAGAUAUAAAGCUGAUGUUGCACAAGGAUUCUCACAAAGACCAGUAAUAGAUUAGGAGGAGACAUACUCUUAUGUGGUGGAUGCAACUACUUUUAGAUUUCUCAUAAGUCUGGCUAUAUAAGAGAGAAAAUUAGACUUGCAGCAAGUUGAUGUAGUGACUGCAUAUUUAUAUGGUCCACUGGAUAAUGAAAGUACUAGAGGGUAUUGAGCUGAAAGUACAACAAGUUCUCGAGAACAAUAUUGAUAAUCAUCAAAGUAUAUGAUCUGAAUAUCCUAGGAACCUCUGGAUACAAUUUCCCAAACAGUUGAAUAUCUCAAGAAAGAGUUUGAGAUGAAAGAUCUUGGAAAACAAAGUUUUGUUUGGGAUUACAGCUUGAGUACAUUAACAAUGAAAUCCUUGUGCAUCAAAUAGUAUAUACAGAAAAGGGUACUCAAGAGAUUUAAUAUGGACCAGUCUCAACAUUUAUCUAGUACAUGGGCGUGAGAUCACUUGUUUUGGACACUGAUCCAUUCAGUCCAAAGGUGGAUGAUAAAGAAGUCCAUUUAGUCCUGAGAUGGACGAUGCAGAAGUCUUGUUUUAGACACUGAUCUGAUUGGUCUAUAAGAAGGACGAUGAAGAAACCUUUGAUUUUGAUUUAUUUUAUACUAACCAGCCCAAAGAGGGGUUAUUUGGUUUUGUUGAUUUGUUUUCAGACAUGUUAUGUUUUACACAUGGUGGUACACGCAUAUCACGGCAACAUCAUCCAAGAUUUCGUGUGUGUGUAUUUGAGGUUGAUGACUCAAUAUGUUCGAUCAGAUUGUGGCAUGGCCGAUGGUAAAGAAGAACCAACUAUCAUGUUCGAGGACGAAGCAUAUUCUGCCCAAGAUCUUCAUCACCCACGGAUUGCAAAAAAUUGGAGAAGUCCAAGGGACCUUCAGUAAUGUCCAAAUCAGGGGGAGUAAUGUGUGUUGUACUAUUUUUCCUUCACCAUGGUUUUGUCCCAAUUGGGUUUUCCUGGUGAGAUUUUAAUGAUGCAACAUUAAAGCACAUUACAAGCUCUAAAUGGUUAUGGCAUCCAAGGGAGAGUGUUAUGAACCAGAUUGUGGAUGGCUCAUAACCAAGAGAUUAUGAUUUGUAAUCUUUCCAUUUAUCUAUGACGGUGUAAUCUCUUAUAUAAGGAACCUCUAUGUUAUGAAUAAAGAUAGACUUUUCCAUUAUUACUUUUAUAACAGUAUACUUAUAAAAAUUGAAAUAAUUACCCACACGGUUGUGCGGGUAGAGAUCUAGUUUCUUAUUAAAUGUUUUGUUUUCUCCAUGUCCACACUCCCUUGUUUCUGAUUCAACCUUUGAUUGUUUGAUUAAAUAUGUAUAAUCUAAAUCAACAAUAACCAAAUAUAUAUAUAUACUCAACUAAAAUUUGGGUUUAACGAUCAUCGUCCAUUUUAUAAGAAAAUUCCUCUUGGAUCGAUCUUUUUAUAUUUUUCUUGAUUGACUUUUUAAUCGAAUCCAAGUCUUGCUUCUCUUUGUUUUGGUGUCCACGAUCUCGAAAAAGAAACAGCCAACUGAUUGGUCACUUUCACAGUCCCUCUGGUACGUUAUCCUUUGAUUUUUCAACAUUAUACUUAAAGCUCAAUACCAAAAUCUCAAAGAUAAGCCACUACAUGAUCAUGAUGUGUGUGACCUACGAGCUUGGACUCGAACCCACGAGCCAAUCAUGUAAGUAGCAAUGAAAAGAUCAAGCCAACACAAAUGAUGAAUAGGCCCAUGCCUUGCCCCCAUUCUGUUCCCUUCUUUAUUAAUCUACAGAAACAAAAUCUUCUUCAGAAGAAGAUGCGUGAGCUUUCAACACGAUAAAGAUUGAUGCAAAGUCAUAUAAGGAAACAGCCAAAUCAAUAGCUUGGUGGGUUUGGUCUUCCAAAAGUAAAUUAUGGAAGAACAUGAAUGUCUCUUAUGUACAUUGUCCUGGAAAGAGAGCUCUGAGACCUGAUUACGCAAAAGACUAAUUGCAGAUCACAAAAAAGGAGAAGAGAACGCUAUUUGGAACUGCAGGCAUUGAUACACAAACCAUAAUACAUUAAACACUUGACAAAAGUACAUGUUGAUAUGUCUGUCAGAUUACUACAAGAGUUUCUUUCACCAAUCUGCUUUGCUACCAAUGUACCCUAUGUAAGAGAGAUACUAUAAAGAUCUCCUCUCAACUAUAGUAUAUACACAUUCCUCUGUUUUAGGAAAUGUUAGUUAUUAUCUAACUUAGUCUCCAAGACUAAACUCUGUAUAUAAACCUCUAUUGUACAUUACGUUCAAGAUAUCAUAAUACAUUUCCUAUACCCUAAAUAAGAUAAGUAAACACACAAAAAAGAGCAUUGCUCUAACUUAAAACCUAGUGAGUAAGAAUAAUAACAGUUUUCUCCAAUUUCGAUGAUCUCUCAGAUCCAACCAUUGCUCCCUUGCUCAACCACAGUAUAGCUUCUCCACAAUCUAAUCCCUACAAAUUCUUAUCUGUACAGCAACAACAACAACGCACAAUUCACGUUUUCAGUAACUCAUUUGAGCAGAUGCUCAAAGUUAUGGUUCCAAAUCAACAAUCUGAGACCUCACAAGGUAACAUAGAGUUUCAAUCUUCAAAAUCACAUAAGAAUGAAAAUUCUAACCAUAUAUUCACAAUUGCUUGGCAGAAACAGAGACCAAGAAAGUUCCCAUCCUCUGCUUCUAUAACUCAAUCAUCAUCCUCUACUUCACUAAAACAAUCCACUACCAAUUAAAUUGGUAAAAACAGGGUGAAGCUAUCAAGAAAAUAUCAGACUACGUUGCACAGCUAAGAAGAAUCGGAAAGGGUCACUAAGAUCAUAUUUUAAAAGUAAGACUGCACUUUCUUGUGGAUGUGUUUAUACGUUAAUAACACCGUUUCUGGUGUGAAAAACUGCAGGAGUGUGGCAUUUUGAUCAAAUGCUUCUGAAUGAGGUUUAAGGAAGAAAGUUGGAGCUUUUGAUGACAUAUCUUUUCCUUGUGCUACGGCACUCUUCUAUGUUUAGUUUACAUAGACGUCUCUAAAGUUUGAUAUGGAUAAUGGAUUUUCACUUUUUCUGUUCUUGUGUUGUUUUAACUUUUAACUGAAUGCUUUGUGAGUAUGUUAAUAGUAUAAGUCGUAGUAGUCUGAGAAUAAAUGCAUAUCCAAUGCUUGUCCAUAAAAAGUUGGUUUAAUUUUGGGUGUCCAUAAAAGUCAGUGACGUGUUGUUUUUGACAUAGGAAUCGUAUUUGAACAAAGAUUGUCUCCUUGAGUAGCCUCACGAAUUCUAAAACAGAGCAAAAACUGGGUUCUGCAAUAAACAUAUUGAUUCACCGAGUUUGGUUACAUCUACAGACAAAACAAAAUUAUUAUUGGAGACGAUUUUCAGAAUUAAAUUAGUUAUUAGAAUUAGUUAGAACACAAGAUAUAUAUAGAAUAUCUCUAAUCUUGAAAGAUCUUAGUGUGCAUCAGACUCAUGGGUUUAGGUCUCACAAUCGACACAACUUCCAAUGAUGUAAUGCAUUUGAUGCAUAUCAGCAAAACCAUCGAUCCAUCUUUUGUUUUAUUUUUGUUAUAAGAGAGAAUAGCUACUGGCCAUAUAUUGAAGAAACAAGAACACGAUCGAGCAAAGUCUGGGGUUUUCCUUACCAUCUCGCCCUGAGGAAUACUAGUUGAAUAAUGUACUCACGAUGAUAUGGCUCGAUCAUAAGUAGAUUCACGAGAAAGAGUUGGUUCUUCUGUCAUGAAGCAUGUACUCACUAUUUAUUUGAUUUCAAGCAGGUUAAUAUUUUGUUCAUUUUGAUUGAUUCUUAGAAAAUAUUUGAUUUUUUUUUUGUCAUGUUUGCAUAUAUUUCUCAUUAUGAAAGUUAUGAGGAAUAAACCAAAAAUAAGACUUUUCUCCGUUGAUUUUUCUUGAAAACGUUGAUGUUUGUUUUUAUUCUUAUUUUUUAAAAAGAGAUUCUUUCUUAUUUUGAAAUCCCAUCAAAAUUAAACUAGUUUAGCAGUUAUCUCAAUUAGUUCUUUUUUUAAUUAAAGCAAGAGGAAUGUCAUAAAAUCCUGAAUUUUUAAAAAGAUAAAACAUUUACUAUCAAAUCGAAAGAUUACAAUAUAUGCAAAUGCAGGGGUCUCGUAAACGUUAGUUUUUAGGUCAAUAUGCAUGCGCGUCUUGUAAACGUUAAUUUAACUCCAAACAUACACCUAAGCAAAAUAAGACUUCGUAAAUUACGUCUUCUAUGGUGUGGACAGUUUUUUUUUUUUAAAAAUACUUGUAAUUAGUAAAGGGGACCAAUAUGCGCGGAAAUUUGACCUAAUAGUUUUCUCUCUGGCCCGAUAAUCGAGGUGCCGUCUCAACCGUUUCACUCCGACGCCGGUAGAGCCAUGGCUCGCCGGCGUCGGGUGCUUCAACCUCCGCGUCGUCCUCUUUCUUUUCGUAUCUGUUCAAGCUCAAGAUCCCGUGCUCUGUUCACCGUUCGUAUGACCCUUUCUUGGUCGAAGUUGUCUUCCAUUUCGUAUUUUUCCGGGGGUUCCCGACUACAGUUUUCACUCCCCUCCUCUACUCAACGCCAUCAACGCCAUAGCUCUGCUGGUCCGGCUAUUAUCUAACUUAGUCUCCAAGACUAAACUCUGUAUAUAAACCUCUAUUGUACAUUACGUUCAAGAUAUCAUAAUACAUUUCCUAUACCCUAAAUAAGAUAAGUAAACACACAAAAAAAAAGCAUUGCUCUAACUUGAAACCUAGUGAGUAAGAAUAAUAACAGUUGUCUCCAAUUUCGAUGAUCUCUCAGAUCCAACCAUUGCUCCCUUGCUCAACCACAGUAUAGCUUCUCCACAAUCUAAUCCCUACAAAUUCUUAUCUGUACAGCAACAACAACAAGGCACAAUUCACGUUUUCAGUAACUCAUUUGAGCAGAUGCUCAAAGUUAUGGUUCCAAAUCAACAAUCUGAGACCUCACAAGCUAACAUAGAGUUUCAAUCUUCAAAAUCACAUAAGAAUGAAAAUUCUAACCAUAUAUUCACAAUUGCUUAGCAGAAACAGAGACCAAGAAAGUUCCCAUCCUCUGCUUCUAUAACUCAAUCAUCAUCCUCUACUUCACUAAAACAAUCCACUACCAAUUAAAUUGGUAAAAACAGGGUGAAGCUAUCAAGAAAAUAUCAGACUACGUUGCACAGCUAAGAAGAAUCGGAAAGGGUCACUAAGAUCAUAUUUUAAAAGUAAGACUGCACUUUCUUGUGGAUGUGUUUAUACGUUAAUAACACCGUUUCUGGUGUGAAAAACUGCAGGAGUGUGGCAUUUUGAUCAAAUGCUUCUGAAUGAGGUUUAAGGAAGAAAGUUGGAGCUUUUGAUGACAUAUCUUUUCCUUGUGCUACGGCACUCUUCUAUGUUUAGUUUACAUAGACGUCUCUAAAGUUUGAUAUGGAUAAUGGAUUUUCACUUUUUCUGUUCUUGUGUUGUUUUAACUUUUAACUGAAUGCUUUGUGAGUAUGUUAAUAGUAUAAGUCGUAGUAGUCUGAGAAUAAAUGCAUAUCCAAUGCUUGUCCAUAAAAAGUUGGUUUAAUUUUGGGUGUCCAUAAAAGUCAGUGACGUGUUGUUUUUGACAUAGGAAUCGUAUUUGAACAAAGAUUGUCUCCUUGAGUAGCCUCACGAAUUCUAAAACAGAGCAAAAACUGGGUUCUGCAAUAAACAUAUUGAUUCACCGAGUUUGGUUACAUCUACAGACAAAACAAAAUUAUUAUUGGAGACGAUUUUCAGAAUUAAAUUAGUUAUUAGAAUUAGUUAGAACACAAGAUAUAUAUAGAAUAUCUCUAAUCUUGAAAGAUCUUAGUGUGCAUCAGACUCAUGGGUUUAGGUCUCACAAUCGACACAACUUCCAAUGAUGUAAUGCAUUUGAUGCAUAUCAGCAAAACCAUCGAUCCAUCUUUUGUUUUAUUUUUGUUAUAAGAGAGAAUAGCUACUGGCCAUAUAUUGAAGAAACAAGAACAGGAUCGAGCAAAGUCUGGGGUUUUCCUUACCAUCUCGCCCUGAGGAAUACUAGUUGAAUAAUGUACUCACGAUGAUAUGGCUCGAUCAUAAGUAGAUUCACGAGAAAGAGUUGGUUCUUCUGUCAUGAAGCAUGUACUCACUAUUUAUUUGAUUUCAAGCAGGUUAAUAUUUUGUUCAUUUUGAUUGAUUCUUAGAAAAUAUUUGAUUUUUUCUUUGUCAUGUUUGCAUAUAUUUCUCAUUAUGAAAGUUAUGAGGAAUAAACCAAAAAUAAGACUUUUCUCUGUUGAUUUUUUUUGAAAACGUUGAUGUUUGUUUUUAUUCUUAUUUUUUAAAAAGAGAUUCUUUCUUAUUUUGAAAUCCCAUCAAAAUUAAACUAGUUUAGCAGUUAUCUCAAUUAGUUCUUUUUUUAAUUAAAGCAAGAGGAAUGUCAUAAAAUCCUGAAUUUUUAAAAAGAUAAAACAUUUACUAUCAAAUCGAAAGAUUACAAUAUAUGCAAAUGCAGGGGUCUCGUAAACGUUAGUUUUUAGGUCAAUAUGCAUGCGUCUUGUAAACGUUAAUUUAACUCCAAACAUACACCUAAGCAAAAUAAGACUUCGUAAAUUACGUCUUCUAUGGUGUGGACAAUUUUUUUUAAAAAAAAUUCUUGUAAUUAGUAAAGGGGACCAAUAUGCGUGGAAAUUUGACCUAAUACUUUUCUGUUUCACUCCGACGCCGGUAGAGCCAUGGCUCGCCGGCGUCGGGCGUUUCAACCUCCGCGUCGUCCUCUUUCUUUUCGUAUCUGUUCAAGCUCAAGAUCCCGUGCUCUGUUCACUGUUCAUAUGACCCUUUCUUGGUCGAAGUUGUCUUCCAUUUCGUAUUUUUCCGGGGGCUCCCGACUACAGUUUUCACUCCCCUCCUCUACUCAACGCCAUCAACGCCAUAGCUCUGCUGGUCCGGCUUCCGUCAAGAAUCAGAUCUGUGAGGCUCAAUCUUCCUCUCCUCCCUACGUGUCUCCUCGGCUAGAAAGCCCCCUCCGACAUUCGUCUUCCAUACCACCACAAGUCCAACUUCAAGCUUCGGCUUCCGACGUCUACAAACCCGGUGUCCGUGGGGCUCCACAAUUAACUCGGAUUUUAGAUCUGGAAUUUUGUCAGUUGUCUCGGUUGUGCUCACCUUAUGUCUCCUCUCUAUCACCACUGUCGCUGGCCUUCCUACUCCUCUCACCGCUCCAUUGUCAUCAUCUCAGCCAUAUCAGCUAAACAUCGCCGCUUCUUUGCUCCGCCGUGAUUCCUCGCAGUUCAUCGGGUUCUUUGACCGAGGAAGGCUGAGUCAUUUUGUUCAUGAGAUGGGCUACUUUCAUUUUGCAGUGAGCUUGACAAGCCCAAUAAAGCUCCAAGGCUCCCAUCUCUUCCUAGCAGUUUCACAGCCCACUUUGAUGUGGGGUGGAUUCGUCUCCUUGACUAAUCUUCUAAAAAUGUUUGGCGGGUUCACUAGCGUUUUUACAGAGACAUAUAUACACACAAAGUUUCAUCUCUCUUGUUUGAAGAGUAGCCUUUCUUUCCAUUUACCGGUGGGUUCACCGGGACCAUCAUGUUCAUCCUUUGCUUCCUUUUUAAGGAGUACUUUCCCUCCAAUCUUGUGGAGGUGUUUGUCCAUAUCUAUAACCGUCUUGCUAUCUUGUGCAGCGGUCCGUUCGGGGCCUGAAAAUGCAGCGGGAUUCGUUUCGACGAGUUUCCGAGGUGCGGAUUGGAUGUCAACGCCACAAUUUAAUGUGACUAUUUCUCUGCUGUCCGACCAUGUCGUGAAAGCUACACUGACGCAUUCAAGCAUUGUCUUGAGUUCGUUGUCAUCUUCUUCUUUUGAAGACCUAUCCUUUUUAUCUUAUGUUGGUGUAGUUUAUGUUUUCAAUUAAAGCGGAUGGAUAAUUCCCUCUAUUAUUUGUAAUCAAGCAAGUUGAACUUAAUGAAAAAGUUGUGUUUCAAAAAAAAAAAGAUUUUGCUUUCGACGUGAUGAAUAUUGGAUUUAUCUCUGUGGGUAUUUUUUGUGUGGAAUAAAAACGAAGUCUAUUAUUGUGCUAUAAAGAGGUGGCCAUGGAAGCAUGUUACUCAUCACCAAUUUCCCUGUUCUUUUUUGCUCUUUCAUUUUAAAGUUAAAUAAGCUUAAAAGAAGAAUGAAAGGCUUUUGGAACAUAACGAGUACCAUUUCUCUUACUCUUUCCAUACUUUUCUUAUUCAGCUACAGUUAUGAGGACGUGUCUGCGGUUCCAACUAGGCACUUGUGUCGUCCGGAACAAAGGGAUGCACUUCCCCAAUUCAAGACCGAGUUCGAGGUUCUAAACUCUUCCUUUUCUUCUUAUAAUUGUUAUAUCAAUGAUGAUAUACUAGUGUCUUAUCGGAAGACGGACUCAUGGGCGAAUAACAGCGACUGCUGUAAUUGGGAGGGUGUCACGUGCGAUGCCAAAUCCGGUGAAGUGAUCGAGCUAGACCUUAGUUGCAGCAACCUACGUGGCGAGUUUCAUUCCAAUAGCAGUCUUCAAAGCCUUCAUUCUCUAAACACUCUAAACCUUUCACGUAAUGAUUUCAAUGGUCAAAUCAUGUCUUCAAUUGGAAACCUUUCUCAUAUCACCUCUCUCGACCUUUCACAAAAUUAUUUCAGCGAGUUCAUUCCUUCUUCGAUAGUAGACCUUUCUCAUCUCACCUUUCUCGAUCUUUCAUUUAAUAGCUUUUCUGGUCAGAUUCCAUCUUCGAUUGGAAAUCAUUCUCAUCUCACCAAUCUUGGCCUUUCUUAUAACCAGAUUUCUGGUCAGAUUCCAUCUUCUAUUGGAAAUCUUUAUAAGCUCACUCGUCUUGAUCUUUCUGAUAACAAUAUUGUUGGAGAAACCCCAUCUUCUUUUGGCAAUCUAAACCAGUUGACCAGCUUAAAUGUUGGUCUCAAUAGGCUCAAUGGAAGCUUUCCCAUUGCACUACUGAAUUUGACAAAGUUGUCAUCUUUGCUACUCUUAUGACAAUCAGUUCACAGGAACAAUUCCUCAUAACAUCACUUCACUAUCCAAAUUGACGACCUUUUAUGCAAGCGACAACGCUUUCACUGGGACCCUGCCUUCUUCUCUCUUCACCAUUCCUUCUAUGGAACGUGUUGAUUUGUCUGAUAACCAACUCAACGGUAAUCUUGAGCUUGGGAAUAUAUCUUCACCACCUAAGCUACGAGAGUUAACAAUAACAACUUGAGAGGGCCAAUCCCAGUCACGAUAUCAAAAUUUACCAACCUUGUCCGACUUGACCUUUCCCACUACAAGACACAAGGUCCAAUUGAUUUUAGUAUCUUCUCGCAUCUCAAGUGGCUGGAAGUUCUUGACCUAUCCUAUUUGAACACGACCACUACCAUUGACUUGAAUGAUAUCUUGUCGUAUUUUAAGAGGCUCAGUUACUUGCUUCUCUCAGGCAACCUUGUUUCAUUCAACCUUUGCUGCGUUAUUUGGAAUUGUCAGGCUGUGGUAUCACCGAGUUUCCAGAGUUUGCAAGAUCGCAAAAUAUGAGGAGUCUAGACAUUUCCAACAAUAAAAUCAAAGGACAAGUGCCUGGCUGGUUAUGGACACUACCAAAUCUGUAUCACCUGGAUCUUUCCAACAACACUUUCAUUGGCUUCGAAAAACCAACAACAGUUUUAGUUUCAAGGCUAUCCUUGCUUGCCUCCAACAACAAUUUUACGGGAAAGAUUCCCUCUUUCAUAUGUGAUUUGCGCAAUGUAGACACUCUUGAUUUAUCAAACAACAACUUCAGUGGUUUAAUCCCUAGUUGUCUGGGAAAUCUCAAGCCUACUCUUGAAUAUCUAAACCUUCGUCAGAAUCGUCUUCAUGGAGGUCUUCCAGAGAAUAUAUUUGGAAACUUAAGAACGCUUGACAUCGGUCAUAACCAACUGACGGGAAAGCUUCCAAGAUCUUUGAUCCGGUUCUCUAGUCUUGAAGUUCUGAACGUGGAAAGCAACAUUAUCAAUGGUACGUUUCCGUUUUGGUUGAGUUCUCUACCGGAACUCAAAGUUCUUGUGUUACGCUUUAAUGCCUUCCAUGGACCGAUACAUCAAACUUCGUUCCCUGAGUUGCAAAUCAUCGACAUAUCACACAAUCACUUCAAUGGAGCUUUGCCAUCAGACUUCUUUGUGAAGUGGAGUGCUAUGUCAUCACUUGGGACUGUUUAUUAUGAUCAGCAUGAUCAGCUGGAUGACAAGUACAUGGGAGGUUCCUAUUACCAUGAUUCAAUGGUGUUGAUGAAUAAAGGUAUAGAGAUGGAGUUUGUACGUAUCCUAAAGAUCUACACAGCACUCGACUUUUCAGGAAACAAAUUUGAAGGAGAGAUCCCAAGGUCCAUUGGCCUAUUAAAAGAGCUUCUUGUGCUCAACUUGUCUAACAAUGCUUUCUCUGGCCACAUCCCUUCAUCUAUGGGAAACCUGACGGCUCUUGAGUCACUGGACGUUUCCCAAAACCAGCUUUCAGGAGAAAUACCGCAAGAGCUAGGGGAACUCUCAUUCCUUUCCUACAUGAACUUCUCUCAUAACAAGCUUACAGGUCUAGUACCAGGAGGCACUCAGUUUCUAAGGCUCAACUGCACUUCUUUUGAGGAUAAUCCGGGACUUUCUGGCCCUUCUCUUGAAGAAAUUUGCAGAGAUAUGCACACGCCAACACCGCAUGAAACGCUGGAAUCUGUUGAAGAAGAAGAGGAAGAGGUGUUGAGUUGGAUAGCAGCUGUCAUAGGAGUCAUACCUGGUAUUGCCUUUGGAUGGGUGAUUGGAUACAUACUUUUUUCCUACAAACCACAGUGGUUCAUGAACCCUUUUGCCCGAAACAAGCGCAGAAUCAGCAGCACCACAACUCAUUAAAAAGGUAAUUUUCCAGAGUUUUAAAUCAACUUGUUAGAAAACACUGGAAGAAACAAAAAUAUUAUAGUGAAAUCACCUGAGUUAACCUUUUCUUUUUUUUUGGUACAUGUCUUUUAUAAGCUACCUGAGGAAUCUGGAAGAAGAAAUCCAAAGGAACCACUAUGUCUAUCGUAUCAAAUAAGAUUUGGGGUAUCGUUUCUGGUUUAGCUUGGUGUUUUUCUCAUUACUCUGUUUUUACUCUCUCUUUUUUUUCUAGCAAACUUCUUUGUUCCUCUGGUAUUGUUUCUGUUUUAGCUUGGUGUGUUUUUUCUCUAUCUCUAUUUUUUUUUUACGUUUUAUUAAACUUCUUUGUUUCUCUGUAAUUGAACAACCAUGUUGCUUACGCUGAAAAUUACAAGCACCAGUCAAAGAUGUGUCGUCUUUUCCCCUCUUGUGAAUCUAAACAUCAACUGUUUAGACGUGAGAUGAGCAAUGAACAGAUGAUCCAGAUCAACGCUAUAAACCUUGCAGGGUUUUAGAAAAGGAUAUACAUAUUAUAUAUGGAUAUUUCGAUUUCUUAUAUCACUGAGACACAUAAAUUCAUAGAAACUAUAGAUUAAUAAUGACCAGAAAAAAGAUAUAUGCUCAACUUAAUUUGUUUUAACGAUCAUAUGAAAAUUCUUCUUUGAUCAGUGUGAAAUCUAUUUUAUAUUUUCUUUAACUGACUUUUACAUCUACUCUCAAGUCUUGCUUCUCUUUAAUUUGAUGUCCACAAUCUCAAAUAGAGACAUCAAUAGCUUGGUGGGUUUGAUCAGUUCCAAAAAGUGAAUUAUGGAAAGAACAUCUAUGAUGUCAAUAUGAAUGUCUCCAAAGAACCCCUUUAUGCAUUGUGUUAAAUCUGUUAAGGCAAUUCUGAGACCUGAUUACGCAAAAAGACUAACUGCAGAUCAUAAAAAAAAAAAAAAAAAGAGAAAUGAGACCACAGGCGUUGAUACAGAAACCAUAAUACAUUAAACACUUGACAAAAGUACAUGUUGAUAUGUCAGUCAGAUUACUACAAGAGUUUCUUUCCCCAAUCUCGAUCAGCUUCUCAGAACCAACGAGUGUUCCUUUGCUCUACCACAGUAUAGCUUCUCCACAAAUCUAAUCCCUACAACUUCUUCCCUGUACAACAGCACCACAAAAUUCAAGUUUCAGUAACUCAUCAUCAUAUAUGAUGAACAAAUAUAACAUUAACAAACAGAACCUGAAACCUCAGAAGCUUACCUAAAGUUUCAACAUGUUCAUCCGUUGCAACUCAAGCUCCUUUGCAGCUUCCAUCCUCUGCUUCUCCAACUCAACCAUCAUCCUCUGCUUCACACCUUCAAUCCUCUCGUACACCUCUCCCAACUUCAAAAUCGCUCUCGCCAGCUCCCUACAAGANNNNNNNNNNNNNNNNNNNNNNNNNNNNNNNNNNNNNNNNNNNNNNNNNNNNNNNNNNNNNCGACGACCCUUCGCCUCCACUCGGAUCCACAUCCUCCACUCUCCGAUGCUUCCUCACCACAAACCCCCAAUCUCCCACCUCAUCAUCAUCAUCCUCCUCCUCCAAAGAGCUCCCACUCGAUUUAGAUCCCGUCGGAUUCUUCAACGCCGGUCUCACAACUCCGGUGGAUUUCUUCGCCGCGACGGGACCGAUCAAGAAAUCGAGCCUCUCGAAGAAGCACCAAGACGACGGAGAAGGCUUACUUCUUCUCUCAUAACCAGCUUGUCGGUCUAGUACUGCACUUCCUUUGACGGUAAUCCGGGACUUUCUGGCCCUUCUCUUGAAGAAAUUUGCAGAGAUAUUCACAAGCCAGUCAGAGGAAGAAGAAGAGGAAGAGGUGUUGAGUUGGAUAGCAGUUGUAAUAGGAGUCAUACCUGGUUUUGCCUUUGGUUGGGUGAUUGGAUACAUAUUUGUUUCCCACAAGCCACAGAGGGAUUCAUGAAUCCUUUUGUCCGAAACAAACGCAGACGCAGCAGUACAACAACUCAUUAAAGAGGUAAUAUUCCAGAGUUUUAAAUCAACUUGUUAUUACCAAACAUUGGAAGAAACAAAAUUAUUAUAGUGAAAUCACCUGAAUAAACCUGACAAAUAUGGAAGACUGGGAUUGGGAAAAGAGUGGGACAGAGUUCUGUGAAGUUAAAUGGAGUGAAGACUGAAUGAAGAUGGAAAAACAUGGACAGUGCCCCUGAACUAACACAAAACAAGGGGUCGUGUCUACAUCAAUAGUGGUUGGAGAUGUUUUUGCCGCUCAAUUUGAAAAAGAGCCAACGUUUUAUUGGCUUUUAAUCUUGUGCAAACGCUCAUCAGAGCAAUCCAAAACAAACUCCAGAUUAAAGAAAUCUUCGGUAUCGUCUCAGAUAUCAUGCAGAUCUCCUCGGCGUUUGAAUCUAUCUCUUUCUCCUUUGUUCCACAAUCAGAAAACCAAAAGGCUGACUGUUUAGCCAAACGGGCUCUGAUCUCUUCUGUUUCUGCACUUGUUUGAACAUCUGGGUAUUGGGCUUUGUUUUCGGCCCUUUAUCUUUCCUUUGCUUUUAAUAUAAUCUCGUUGCACAAAAAAAAAAAAAAAAAAAUCUUGUGCAAACAGGUACAAACCCUGUUCUCCAGUUGUGUUCGUCCUACAACCGAAACUGUCUCCGAGCUUCUUCUUCAUCUUCAUCUUCAACAAGCCAAGAAAGAUUCUUGACACUGACUCCAACACCAUACACUCUCAAGAAGUCUAAUUUGGUAAGUUUUCAUCAAUACACCCAGCAUUGUAUCUGAGUUGUUUUAAUGUUUUGAAGUCUUUAUUAAGUCUACCGGGCAAGCUUGUGUGGUUGAAUGGUAGUGAGAAGGCAAGGACGAUAACUCUCGUGGACAGAUACGGUUUCAAAAGGUCAACGAGUCUUGAAGCUGAUAACAAAUCUGGAAGAAUGUGACUGGGAAAAGAGUGUAGAGCGUUCUGUGAAGCUAAUGGAGUGAAGGCUGGUGAGUCCUUUAAGCUAGAAUUCAUCAAAGAUGAAAAAUUCACAGCGACUCAACUACUUAAGCUAUGUUCUAAAGUCUUAAACUCUCUCUGAGUUCGUUUUGAUUAUGUAAUAUCUACGUACAGUGUGUAUUUUGAUUUUUGGCAGGCUUGUCAGGCAAGGCUGUAGUAACUUGGUAUGAGACGAACCUAGGCUAUGUUAAAUUGACUCUCCUUUGGAGAAUAGACCCUCAAAAAUACAUUGUCAUUCAGUAUAAUAUUUUUUUUUUUGAUCUAUAAUAACGUUUACAAAAACACCAAUGAAUACUAACUAACUUUUUACUCUGCCCCCUGAACGCUCAUCUUCUCAUAGUAGAGAGGCAAAUUUGAUUACAUCAUCCAGUGUAUCAAACAACUUACCAUCCAAAUCCAAACCAUUCUUUUGAUUGCUUUCUUUAUACGAAUUUGUGCUUUAGCUCAUGUUUUGUUCUUGGUUUUUCACUAAAUUAGCAGCUUAUAUGUAUUCUUCCUAUAAAGAACGUUCUCUCGGACUUUCUCUCAAGCAAGUACACGAGCAGGUCUACACGGUUGCGUGGCGUAACCUGAUAGACCCGUCUGUCAGUCUCAGUCUGCUUCGAAAUCAAUGAGGAGGGCAACUGGUGCAUAUAGUCUGCUUUCUGACUAUUAAAUAUGACCAGAGAAAUUUCCACACAUGAACUUAAUAUUGAUUAGGAAAGUUGUUUUGCUUUCGCUGUAAUGUAUAGUGAAUUUUUCUUUGUGUAAUAAAUAUACAGUUAAAUUAGCUUAAAGAAAAAUGAGAGGCUUUUGGAACUUAACGUGUACCAUUUCUCUUAUUCUUUCUAUAAUUUUCUUAUUCUGCUACAAUUAUGAGGACGUGUCUGCGGAUACUACUAGGCACUUGUGUCGUCCUGAUCAAAGGGAUGCACUUCUCCAUCUUCGAUUGGAAAUCUUUCUCAUCUCAUCUCACCUACCUUGACUUUUCUUCUACUCAAAUUUUGGGUCAGAUUCCAUCUUCUACUGGAAAUCUUUAUAAGCUCACUUAUCUUGACCUUUCUAACAACAAUAGCUAUGUUCUUUUGAUUAACGCAGCUUCUCGCGUCAGCGACUCCAAAUCUUAUGGUGGCUGCUUCGUGUGAAACGACGCGGACAAUGGUGAUGACAUAAAAAGUGUUGCCGUAAUAGUAAAAAAUAGUCGCCGCGUGAGUCGUAACUGACGCUACAAUUUUUAGCGAUCAAUUAUCAUCCCAAAACUAACGCUGCGUCUCUUAUAAUUAACUUCGGCAAAGUGGGUUUUCAGCAAUCUUGCUUUUAAAGUAACGGAAAUACAGAGCGAAAAAGAGACGCAGACGCUAACGCAGCGUUUAUCAAAAGAACAUGACUAUUGUUGGUGAUAUCCAAUCUUCUAUUGGCUAUCUAAACCAGCUGACCACCUUAAGUGUUUAUAAAAAUAAGCUCAAUGGAAGCUUGCCCAUUACACUACUGAAUCUGACAGAGUUGUCAUAUUUAGUACUCAGCGUCAAUCAGUUUACAGGAAUAGUUCCUCAUAACAUGUUACGUAUGAGGCUAGAAGGCCACCAAUACUGUACCAGUGCGAGAGGAGAAAGAAAGGCCCAGUUCAGAAAAAGUGACUAAGCACAAGAAGCAUCUAGAAGAAAUCAAUAAAAGAGGAGAAAGGAUGAAUCACAGCAACGGCCUUGGGCACGAGCACAUGGGUUGUCUGUGACGUGUCCCCUGCUUUUUCACUUUAUAAGUAGUAGUAAGGAAUAAUAGUUUGUGAUCGAGAGAGAGGAUCGAUCUGGUAGUGAUUGGAGAGAGAGUACUCCUGUCUAAAAACUCUAAAUCAUUGUAUUUGCUUGUUCUUUAAGGAGUCUUCAUAAAGUUCUUUACACGAUCGAGCUUUUACAAUACUAGUCGUAACAAACUUGGUAUCAGAGCAAGACGAACCUGAGGGCUUGUGAUGGGACCGAAGAAGAAUGACGACAAGGUAGCGGAGCAGAUCCAUCGCGAUGAUGACCGUAUCGUGGUGGUGGAGAGCAAGAUAUCUGCGGUGGAGGACCGAUUGAACGAGAUGAUGAAGUUCAUCGCCAGUGGGUUUGAGAGGAUCGAGCCGCGGAAGGAGGAUCAGACGGAGGGAAAGGAUCGGCGAGGAGAAGGGCUGAUACCCUCUGGUCUGACCUCCAACCCAGCCGGUGCUUCUAAACCUAUGGUGCUGCAAGGUGAAGGCUCGGGGAAGCAGAUCCUCGAAGAACCGAGAAGCAUCUCCGGAGUGAGGUCGACGGCGGCGUCAGGACCAGGAGCGGAUUCUGUCAACACCCAAACCUCAUACCGGAGUAUCUUGGGAGGCAAGGAAGAGUGGUUACCAAAGAGAUUGGAGAUCCCAACGUUUGACGGAGAAGAGCCGGAGAACUGGGUGUUACGUGUGGAACAUUAUUUUGAGUUGGGAGAUUUUACGGAGGAAGAAAAGUUGCGCGCCGUCAGGAUGUGUUUUAUCGGCGACGCGUUACCUUGGUACCGAUGGGAAAGGAGUCGGAAUCCGUUCCUGAGCUGGGAACAGAUGAAGACAAGGGUAUUGGAGCAGUUUUUGGCGGUGCGCGAUACGAGCGCCGGUGAGCAUAUCCUGUGUCCCCGACAGACCGGGACGGUGCGAAGCUUUCGCAGCGAGUUUAUCGCGUUAGCUUCCAACGCUCUGGGGAUUCCCGAUCCGAUCUUAGAGAUGGCUUUUAUGAACGGGUUGAAGCCUAAAAUAAAAGCGGGAGUGAGGAUGAUGAGUGUAAGAGGGUUAGAGAAGGUGAUGGACGCCGCGAAAUUGUUGGAGGACUGGUCCGAAGGAGGGGAGACGACGGAGGAGACGACAGAGACGUCGUCUAAGACUGGCCGUGUUACGAGUGGUUGUCAUCUAGCCCAAACAAAUAAACCGGCCCAAUCAACCGGUCAAAUCCCAAACCUUAACAAGGGAAGGCCCACUUUCAAUGGAACGACGGCGUCGAGCAAUACCCAGACGAAACCUAAUCACAAUCGAUUGAAACCAUCCUUUCGGCGGUUGACUCCGGCAGAGGUGGCGAAAUGGAAGGCGGAGGGGUUGUGUUACCGGUGCGACGAGAAGUACAUAUAUCCUCACCGUUGCGCCCAGCCCGAGGUGGUGGUCUUGAUGGUGCUGGAGGACGGAACAGAGAUAGAUGUGCUAAACUGUUCCGUCGAGUUAGAGGAAGAGGAGAUCGCAGAGGAAGUGGAAGUAGCAGCGAUUUCGAUCAGCUCCAUUGUGGGAAUCUCCUCAACUCAUACAAUCAAGCUCAAAGGAAAGUUGAUGGGAAGAGAAGUGGUGGUUUUGAUCGACAGCGGGGCCACCCACAAUUUCGUAUCGAAGGAGCUAGUGACACAGUUGAAGUUACAGACGGAUAGAACUCGCGGCUAUAGUGUGAUGACAGCCGGUGGAGUGACCUUCAAGGGAGCAGGGUUGUGUAGCGAGUUAGAGCUGGAGCUACAAGGUUGUACGAUCACCUCAAGUUUCCUACCAUUGGAAUUAGGAAGCGCUGAUGUCAUAUUAGGCAUUCAGUGGUUGGAAACACUCGGGAAUAUGAAGGUCAAUUGGAAGCUACAAAUUCUACGUUUCAAGGUGGGAUCGCAUAAGUAUGUCCUACAAGGAGAUCCCAGCCUCUGUUGUUCAGCGGCGUCUCUCAAAUCUAUUCUGAAGACGUUACAGCAGGACGGAGAGGUGAUGUUGAUUGAAUACAACGGGAUGCAGUUGGAGGGAGAAGAAUCCGGGAAAGCCUCUCAGAUUCCUCAGUCCUUACAAGACAUCUUGAAAGAGUUUACAGAGGUCUUUGAUGAACCUAGGGGGCUCCUUCCGUCAAGAGGAAAGGCGCACGCUAUUGAGUUGAAGAAGGAAGCAAGCCCCGUGAGCGUCAGGCCCUUUCGAUACCCUCAAGCUCAACGUGAGGAGAUUGAGAAACAAAUCGCAGCUAUACUCACUGCAGGGAUCAUCAGAGACAGUAACAGCCCAUUCUCGAGCCCUGUGCUGUUGGUGAAGAAGAAGGACGGAAGCUGGCGGUUCUGCGUUGAUUACCGCGCCCUUAACAAGGUCACCAUCGCAGACUGCUACCAUAUACCGAUGAUAGAUCAACUGCUGGAUGAGUUGCAAGGAGCAGUCGUCUUUUCGAAGUUGGAUUUGAAGUCAGGUUACCAUCAAAUUCUGGUGAAAGCGGAGGACGUGCAGAAGACAGCGUUCCGUACUCACGACGGCCACUAUGAGUUCCUAGUGUGCCGUUCGGACUGUCAAACGUACCAGCUACAUUCCAGUCGUUGAUGAAUGAGAUAUUCCGAAGCUAUUUAAGGAAAUUCGUCCUCGUCUUCUUUGACGACAUAUUAGUUUAUAGUAAGACAGAGAAGGAACACGCGGUGCAUCUCAGACUGGUGCUAGAGAAACUAAAGGCACAGAAGUUAUAUGCCAACCAAAAAAAGUGCGAAUUUGGGAGCUCUCGAAUAGAGUACUUGGGGCAUGUAAUCAGUAAGGAAGGAGUAGUAGCUGAUGAGGGGAAGAUUCAAGCCAUGACAAAUUGGACGACGCCAAGAACCGUGAAGGAGUUGCGCAGGUUCUUGGGUUUAACCGGGUACUAUCGGAAGUUUGUACAAAGCUAUGGAGAGAUUGCAAGACCUUUAACAUCAUUUCUCCGCAAGGACCAGUUCAGAUGGUCUGAAGGAGCGACGGGUGCUUUCCAACAGCUGAAGAGAGCCAUGACAACGGUACCGGUGCUUGCCUUGCCUGAUUUCAAGGAGCAGUUUGUAGUGGAAUCAGAUGCAUCGGGAGUGGGAUUGGGAGCGGUCUUGAUGCAGAAGCAGCGACCCAUCACGUACUUCAGUCAAGCACUGACAGAGAAGCAACAGCUGAAGUCAGUAUAUGAGAGGGAGUUAAUGGCUAUAGUCUUUGCCAUACAGAAGUGGGCGACAUUACUUACUCGGAAGAAAGUUUCUAGUAAGAACGGACCAGAAGAGUCUCAAGUUUUUAUUGGAGCAACGUGAAAUCAACAUGGAGUAUCAGAAAUGGCUGACGAAGAUUCUUGGUUUCGACUUCGACAUUCAUUACAAGCCCGGACUCGAGAAUAAAGCCGCAGACGGCCUUUCUCGAAAAAGUGCAAUACUAGAGUUAUUUGCAGUAUCGGUUCCAGUAUCUAUUCAGUUGGAGGAACUAGGUUCUGAGGUGGGGAGGGAUGAAGAGUUGUCUAAGAUAAUGGAAGACCUGUCUCGAGAUCUGAAUUCACAUCCUAACUACUCUAUGGUACAAGGGAGACUGCUGAGACAGGGGAAGCUUGUACUACCUAAGACGUCUCAGUUGAUUGGAGUUAUCUUGAAAGAAUACCACGACAGCAAGUAUGGGGGGCAUGGCGGAGUAUUAAAGACACAAAAACGCAUUGGAGCUUUGUUCUAUUGGCAGGGCAUGAUGACUGACAUCAGGAAGUAUGUGGCGUCAUGUCAGACUUGCCAACGACAGAAGUACUCCACGUUGGCACCGGGGGGGGGGGGGGGNNNNNNNNNNNNNNNNNNNNNNNNNNNNNNNNNNNNNNNNNNNNNNNNNNGGGGGGGGGGGGGGGGGGGGUCUCCUCCAGCCUCUACUGAUACCGUCCAACGUGUGGGAAGACAUUUCGCUUGAUUUCAUUGAGGGGCUGCCUAAGUCGGGAGGAGUCAACACUGUUCUCGUGGUGAUAGACCGUCUUACAAAGUAUGCUCACUUUGUGGGUCUCAGGCAUCCGUUCACUGCUGUUGAUGUGGCUAUGGUCUUCAUGCAGGAGAUAGUCAGACUACACGGGUUCCCUAAGACCAUAGUGUCAGAUCGUGACAGGAUAUUCACAGGGCAGUUUUGGAAGGAGCUGUUCCGUUUAGCAGGGACCAGUCUAUGCUUUUCAACGGCUUACCACCCACAGUCUGACGGACAGACCGAGGUUACCAAUAGGGGAUUAGAAACAUAUCUACGUUGCUUUGCGGGAGAGAAACCACGAACGUGGGCAAGCUACUUGCAGUGGGCGGAGUUUAGCUACAACACGUCGUUCCACUCUGCUAUUAAUAUGUCACCGUUCCAAGGCUUGUAUGGUAGAGAGCCACCUUCGCUGUUACAGUACGAGAAUGGCUCUACCAACAAUGCUGAGUUGGAAGCACGGCUGCAGGAGCGUGACGACAAUUUGGCAUUGCUUCGCCAACAGUUGUUGAAAGCUCAACAAACUAUGAAGGCAAGAGCAGAUGAGCACAGGAGGGAGGUGGAAUUUCAAGUAGGGGAUAAGGUCUUUGUGAAACUCAGGCCUUACAGAGAGAAGACGUUGGCUAAGAGAAUUAAUGAGAAGCUAUCGGCUCGCUUCUAUGGGCCGUACGAGAUAGAGAGACGCAUGGGGAAGGUGGCGUAUAAACUACGGUUACCAGCAGAGGCCCGCAUUUAUCCCACUGUUCAUGUUUCACAGCUAAAGAAAGCGGUGGGUGAGUCCUUCGAGUCAGUGACCCUGCCAUCACAGCUCACCGCUGACGGGGUAUUGGAGGUAGUUCCAGAGGCCGUGCGAGCUCACAGGUUCAACACCACGACAGGCCACGAAGAGUUGUUGAUCAAAUGGGUCGGGUUGACAGAAGCUGACUGCACGUGGGAAUGGAAGAGUAUGAUUGAGAAGCAGUUUCCAGAGCUUGACCUUGAGGACAAGAUCAGUUUCAAUGGAGGGAGUAAUGUUACGUAUGAGGCUAGAAGGCCACCAAUACUGUACCAGUACGAGAGGAGAAAGAAAGGCCCAGUUCAGAAAGAGUGACUAAGCACAAGAAGCAUCAAGAAGAAAUCAAUAAAAGAGGAGGAAGGAUGAAUCACAGCAACCGCCUUGGGCACGAGCACAUGGGUUGUCUGUGACGUGUCCCCUGCUUUUUCACUUUAUAAGUAGUAGUAAGGAAUAAUAGUUUGUGAUUGAGAGAGAGGAUCGAUCUGGUAGUGAUUGGAGAGAGAGUACUCCUGUGUAAAAACUCUAAAUCAUUGUAUUUGCUUGUUCUUUAAGGAAUCUUCAUAAAGUUCUUUACACGAUCGAGCUUUUACAAUACUAGUCGUAACAUAUCAUCACUUCACUAUCCAAAUUGAGAAUUUUCGAUGCAAGUAACAAUGCUUUCACUGGAACCCUGCCUUCUUCUCUCUUCACAAUUCCUUCUAUUGAUUACGUUAAUUUGUCUAAUAACCAACUCAACGGUAUUCUUGAGCUUGGGAAUAUAUCUUCACCAUCUAAGCUACAAGUGUUAAACGUUGGCAGAAACAACUUCACAGGGCCAAUUCCAAGCACGAUAUCCAAAUUUACCAACCUCGUACGGCUUGACCUUUUCCAUUACAAGCCACAAGGUCCAGUUGAUUUCAGUAUCUUCUCACAGCUCAAGCGGUCGAAUAUCUUGAUCUAUCCUAUUUGAACACGACCACCACUAUAGACCUGAGUGAUAUAUUGUCAUAUUUUAAGAGGCUCCGUCUGUUGUUUUUCUCAGGCAACCAUGUCUCAGCCACAAACAAGAGUCCAGUUUCAGUUCCCCCUUUGCUGUAUGAGUUGCACUUGUCAGGCUGCGGUAUCAACGAGUUUCCGGAGUGGAGUUCGCAAGAAACAAACAUAUGUCGGUUCUAAACAUUUCCAACAAUAAAAUCAAAGGUCAAGUGCCUGGCUGGUUAUGGAGGCUACCAGAUCUGACUUACCUGAAUCUUUCCAACAACAGUUUCAAGAGUGUCUACAUUGCGCAUAUCUUCUUCCUGAUCCACCACUUUUUUAUCUGAUUUUAUUUGCAAUCAGAUUCCAGUUUUUGAAACUGUUUUUUUUUUGUCAAAUAAGUGAGUUCACAUUAAAGGAGAAAGAUUUGUAAGUUACAAAAUGUUGUAGCUAUUAAGGAUUUCCUUGGCAAAAAAAAAGAUAAUAAAAGGAAAGCCCAUAGUUGAAUGAAAAAUAGUUAGAGAAGCCAUUCAUGUCGUAACCAAAUUUGAUGAGAUACAUGAAUGGUAUCCUCUUUCUUUUGCCUAGGAUGAUGUCACCUACAGUCAUGUCAAUAAUUUUGAAGACCAUCGUUGUUAGCGCUUGUUUCUUUUGGUCCAAAUAUUACAAAUUGUAGCAUGUGUAGCAAUGCGCUUAAGGGUUCGGGAGCAUGAGUCCUUCAAUGAAAGCCAAUCAGGGAAAGCAUUCCAGAUUUCUCAGAGACCUAUGAUGAGAAUCCCAACGUUUGUAACCUAUCCUUUGAAGAACCAAAUCCCAUAUUUCUCAGAGACGUAAAUUGGAGACGAUAAUUAGCGAUUUAAGUGAAUCAUUGCAAGUGUUUGGUGAACAGUUACAACUUCUUAAAUGAAAAAUUGCAAUUGUUGGUGAAUGUAAUUAUAGUGAUGAACCAUUGCAUUUCUUGGUAGUUGUAGUUUUUUGGUGAUAAAUCAUUGCAAUUUUGGUGUAAACCAACCAUUGCAAUCCUUAAUCCUCUAUAUAAAGAGUUAUGGACAUUGACAAAGCAUAUCAAUCACAAAUAGACUAGAAAAAUGAGAGAUUCAUAGUCAAAAGAUCAUCAAAAGUAAUGAUAUGCUUUUAUGUGUCUUUUUCAUUUAAAAUAUUUUUUUACUGAUAUGUUUUUGGUUAUUUUCUCACUUUCACUUAUAUUAUACUUUUUUAAAAUCUAUGGAAAGUUUAUGGAUAUGUUUUUCUCUCUUUUGUGACACAUAAACUUCUUUGAAAACAAAAAUAAGAUACUUUAUAUAAAAUAUCAUAAAUUAUACAAGUGGCAAAUAUUUUUUAAAAUAAAAGUAGUUAACAAUAAUAACCUAAAACAUGCAUACAAAUUUCAAUAUGUGUGCAUUUACCAAUUGAUUAUAUUCUUUUAGUUGCGGUCUAUUUUUUAUGUAACAAUUGAAUAGUUUAUGAGUAUUUAUUUUCAUAAUUCUCAAUUUUAUCUCUAUUUGAUCAAAUUUUAUUUUAUUUUACAUGCAAAAGAUGAAUUUAUUCAAGGAUUUUUCUGUUGAAUAGAUGCAUCCUUUAAAAUACUUAAAAUGUUGUAAAAAUGUAUCCUUUCAGAAAAUUAAUAUUUUUAUAUUUAAAUUAUAUUUCAGAUAAAAGUUGAUCUGUUUAUAUGGGUGUAUCUUUGCCUUUUGAUUAAAUGAAUUGAAAUAUGUUUUAGACUCAUUGAUAAAGACAUAUUUAAAAUAAAUAGAUUUGCAUAUAUUAACAUAUUAUAAAAACAUAAAAUUUGAAAGAUGAUGAAAUUAUGUUUUAAAAAUCAUAUUUUUUUGUUCAUACCUUUUGAAAACGAUACAAAUGGAAAUAAAUAAAUAUAUAUUAAUUAUGAAAUAUUGAUACAAAAAAACUUGGAAAUAAAUAAUGUAAAUACUUUAAAGACUCAACAUAAUUGAAUAUAUUUUUAGGACCAAAAUAAGUUGAAUAAUUUUUAUACAUUUAUAAUAUUUUCUAGUACAGUAGUAAAUAUUUAUUUUUAUAAAAUGAGUUUCCGUGGGACAUCGCAUGGAUUCCUUACCUAGUAUACACAGUAACAGACUGUGUAUUUAUUCCACAAAGAAAAAUCCACGGAGAAAAAUCCAUGGUGAAAAAUCAAAUAUUCAUCACAUAACCAGGACGAGUUAGUUUGGUGGUAAACGGUUUGCGGCUGCAAGUACGGUCCCGGGUUCAACUCGCACUGGCCACCAGGAAAUUUACAUGCGGACUUGCUCUGGCGCCCGAGACCGAAGACCGUUGCCUGGCCAUGACCCACCCUCGGGUGUGCGUCCGCGCCGCUAAAGGUUCGGUCUCUAGUCGGACCACCACGGUGGGGCUAGGACACUCGGUUAUAAAAAAAAAAAAAAAAAAAAUUCAUCACAUCGGCAGCAAUAUCUUUGUGUCGAAUAGGGGCCCCCGGUUAAAAAAAAAAAAAAAAAAAAAAAUUCAUCACAUCGGCAGCAAUAUCUUUGUGUCGAAUAGUCAAGUUUCCACACAUAUUGGUCCCCUACACUAAUAAUUAAAUGAAUUUUCAAAAAAUAAUUGUCCACACGACCAAACCAAAUAAAAGUAUUUACGAAGUCUUUUGGAUUAAACUAAUUAACGUUUACGAGACCCAUGCAUAUAAUGUAGUCUUUCGUUGUGAUUUUUUUUGUGUGGACGAGUCUUUUUGCUGGACAGUUUUGGUAACACCUAAAUAGGACCAUGUCCAAAUUAGACCAUACCCAAAAAAGAUUAUGAUCAGUUGGGUUGUCCAUGAGGUCCAGACGCUCAUUUAGUAUAAAUAAGUUAAUUUUUAUUGUAAAAGAUGGAAAUAUACUAAAUUUCGUAUAUAUUAUAGACUUAAACUUUAUUAUUUUGCAAUUUAAAUUUUUACGAGAAAAUUUGAUUUUGAGAUUUUUGUGAUUUUGAUGAAAAAUAUGACUUUCAGUUUCCAUAAAACGUGAUUUUGCGGUUUUGACCGAGAAAAAUGUAAUUUUAAGGAAAAUUGCGUUUGCAGUUUUGGCGAAAAACACGAUUUUAUGGUUUUGAUGGAGAAAAUACAAUUUUACGGGAAAAAUAUGAUUUUUCGGUUUUGGCGAAAACUCGAUUUUAUGAUUUUGGUAAGACAAAUUAAAAUUGUACUUUUUUCCUAAUUUUCUAAACCUAGAUAUUUUAGCUAUUUGGGCUGUCCAGUGUCCAGAUGGUCAAAACCGCAAAAUCACGUUUUCCGGAAACCGAAAGUCAUAUUUUUCACCAAAAUCACAAAAAUCUCAAAAUCAAAUUUUCUUGUAAAAAUUCAAAUUGCAAAAUAAUAAAGUUUAAGUCUAUAAUAUAUAUGAAAUUUAGUAUAUUUCCAUCUUUUACAAUAAAAAUUAACUUAUUUAUAUUAAAUGGGCAUCUGGACGGCAUGGACAACCCAACUGAUCAUGGUUUUUUUUUGGUAUGGUCUUAUUUGGACAUGGUCCUAUUUAGGUGUCGACCAAAACUGUCCAGCAAAAAGACACGUCCAUAUGGACACGCCCAAAUAGGCCCAACCCGCCCAUUUGACAUCUCUACCUACGAAGCUACCUUUUGUCUCAAGAAUCCUGUUUACGGUUGCAUGAGCCAUAGCUUCUCCGCAGAAGAAGAUGCUUGAGCUUCAACAUGAUAUAGCCCUUGCUCGCUCUAGACUACUUGUCCAUUAUUUGCCAAGUGAUUUCACACAUGUUUUCUUUACAAUCAUUUUCACUAAAAAAAUAUGACAUGACAUACUAAAAUUGAUGAUAUGAUGUAUGGUUAAAAGUGACAUAGACAACUACAUUUAAUGUUAAUUUUAAUUUUUGUUAACUUUUGAUAAUAUGGUAAUAAUUCAUAAAUCAUCAUUAAAAUAAAUAUAUUCAAAUAUUUCAUUAAAAAUACGAUAAGAAAGAUAUAAAAUAUUUUUAAAAUUUCGAAAUAUUAUUUAAAUAUAUUUUUAUAAUCAUAAGAGUUUUAUUAUUAAAUAAUAUUUUCAAAAUUUUAUACAACCUUUUUAAAAAAAAUUAAAUUUUUAAUUGUAAUAUUCAUUUGUUUAUUUUUGAUAUCUACAAAUUUUAGAAAUUCUUUUAGUUUAAUAUUUUGAUAAUUAUAAAAAAUUUAUAUCAAUUUUACUUUACACAAGUUAAUUUAAUAUAUCUUAACCAAAAUAAAUAAAUGAAAUAUAUCUAAAUUAUAAUUUUAAAUAUAACUUAAAUCUAAUUUUAAAUAAAUCAGAAUAUUUAUUUUAUCUUAAUUCUAUAAAGGGUCUCGUAAACGUUAGUUUAAUCCAAAAGACUUCGUAAAUACUUUUAUGGGAAAUUUGCCAAAUAUGACUCAUAACUUGAUUUCAAACACAAAGGUAAACCCAAACUUGAAUCAAAUGCAAAAGUAACCUAAAAGACUAUUGAAAUUACAACCAGCCCCUUGUGAACAAACAAAAAAACCGAUUUGUUUUUACUUUUCUAACCCCCGUAAGUCGCCUGGAAUAUUUUUUAAGUGAAAAAUUGAAAUCAUGUAAUUAACAUAUGUUUUAAGAGAUAUAAAUUAAGUUAUAACAAAAUUUAAUUGUUUUCAACAUAGUUGAGUGAAAGUAGUGAGUCAUGAUAUUCUUUGGUUUAGGUUUUGCCAAAAUAUGUUGUAGUAUUGUAUGUGUUCUUAUGGUUAGAUUUUGGAAUGCAUAAAUGUUUUUUUGAAAACUUUAAAAUUUACCUAAGUGUGUUUAUUUCUGUGUAUAGUAAACACUAUUUAAGUAUAACUACGGCUUAAUAACGUGGUUAGUUAGUUAAUUUAGUCAAUUUAGUUUAGGGGUUAAAUUUAGGGUCUGAGAAGUAAGUCGUCUGAUGUACAAUAUUCAACAGACGACUUACUAGUAAGUCGUCCAAACCGGACCGAACCUUUAAUUUUACAAUGUACUUUUAAACCUAACCGAAUUAUUUACCGGCCAUAUAUAAGGUGUUUUUUUUUAUUCACUGUUUCGCGAAAAUCAGAAAACCCUAACGCCGUUUCUCUCAAAGGCGAUUUCGAAGGCGAUUUUUGUCGAUUCUCUCUAAUCCAUCGUUCUCACCGCCGGUUAUCUCUCCGCCGUUAUCACCGUCGUUCUCACCACCGUUCUCACAGCCGCUUCCUCUAUUUAAGAUCCGAGAGGAAACCCUAGCGCGCAUUCUCUCAGAGGCGUCUCGUUGAACUCCGCCGCGGGUAAAUUAUAUCUCUUACUGUCGAGUGAUUGAUUGAGGAAAAGAUGAACAUAAAACUGGAAGUCUUGGAAGACUUAUAAUUAAGUCGUCUGCAGGAAGACUUUCCAGGCGACUUAAUUAUAAGUCUUUCAGCUGGAAAACUUGCGAGACGACUUAAUUAUAAGUCUUUGAUUGUUUGAGAUGGUUGUCUUUGAUUGUUUUGCAGACAAAAAAAAUGGAAAUGCCAGAACUCCCCCGUAGGAUAUAUAUAUUAGGGGAAGAGCCCCCAGCAGUGCAUAACAUUUCGUAUCAUACUUGUUGGACGUUGCAUGCUGCUUUAAAGAAAGCUCUUCAUGAUGACGAAUAUGAAGAGCUAAAGGAGUCGAAGUUGGGAGUUUUCAUCAAGUUCCAAGAGCUGGGAUUUGAUCGGGCUUCAAGGCUGGUUCACUACAUGCUCAGUUUCCAGCUGGACAUAAAGAAGAAGUAUGAGCUGUGGAGUCUCGUUGGUCCACAACCUGUGAGGUUUUCACUGUUAGAGUUUGAAAACCUCACUGGUCUAAACUGCGAGUACAUCGAGGUCCUUGAGAGACCUCACUGUGUUGUUACAAAGGAGUUGACUUCUUUUUGGGAGAUGUUGGGAGUUCAUGUCGAAGCUGAGCCAUCUACUCAGGAGAUAAUAGCAACAUUUGAGAGAUGCGAAGGGUGGUCUCGGGAUGAUCGCAAGCGGCUCGCGUACCUUGCCAUCUUCACUGGAUACAUUGAAGGGAGAAAGUAUUCAACCCCUACACGGGUUAGUCCGGCAAGGCUAGUGAUGGAGCUAGAACAGUUUGAGAAUUAUCCAUUGGGGAGAGUCGCGUUUAAAGUGCUGAUGGACUUUGUGAAGGGCAGAGAUAUUUCGGGUUGUUACACUAUUAAUGGGUUUUCACAAGCUCUCCAGGUCUGGGUGUACACAACUCUUCCGGAAUUGGGUGAUACUUAUGGUAAUCCUCUCCCAAACAAUCCGUCUCCCCGAUACUGGCUUACAAGGGUCGCAAAGGACGCAUACAGUUUAAAGAGGCUAUCCUCAGUCAGGUAUUUACUUCAAUCUGGACGACUUCACAGAAGACUUAUAAUUAAGUCGUCUGAUAAGUCUUUCAACUGGACGACUUAGUAGAAGAUUUGUAAUUAAGUCGUCUGGAAAGUCUUCCAGCUGGAAGACUUUCCAGACAACUUAAUUAUAAGUUGUCUACUAAGUCGUCCAACUGGAAGACUUUCCAGAUGACUUAAUUAUAAGUCGUCUGCGAAGUCUUUUCUUUCCAUCUUUCUUACAACUGGAAGACUUUCCAGACGACUUAAUUAUAAGCCGUCUGCGAAGUCUUUUCUUUCCUUCUUUCUUUAUCCGUCAAAUAUCUAAGUUCAUAUCUUCUAUUUACUGCAGACUAGGGUGAUCAACUUUGUUCAGAAGGACAUUGGUCAAAUGUUUCCAAAAUGGGAGCUUGAUGUUGAGGACACGCCCGCGGAAAACAUAAUUGAACUCAUGUUUGUGAAGAAACCGUGGAAGUGGACCAUAGAUUACUGGGAAGUCACCGGUACUUGGGUCAAUACAAAGUCGGCGGUCGUGAGUCCAGCGAAGAAAAAGGUAGUGAAGGAAGACAAUCCAAGACCUCGGAAGAAAGCUCGUAAAGAGGCACCUGCAGAAGCUAGUGAAGAGGCAGCUGCAGAGGCUGGUGAAGAGGCAGCUGCAGAGGCUAGUGAAGAGGUGACUACGACUGUUGGUGGGUUGACCAAAGAGGAUAUUAAAACCAUGUUCAAGGACAUAGCUGAUGCCAUGAGGGAAGGGUUUGAGACGUGUCUUAAGGAGAUCAAGUAUCUGUCGGAAAGGGUGGAAGCUGUGGAGAAGAAGGUUGGUAUCACCACAAAACGGAAAAGGACAUCAUCUCAAAACACUACCUCUCCACCUAAACCGACGCUCAAACCCGGGGUUAGUAACAAAUCCUCUCCCAACAAGAGAUUGACUAGACAAAGUCUUAAGAAUAAGAACUGAAAAGUUGCAUUUGCUUUGUUUCUUGUAUGUCAGAACAUGUGUGCUUUGUUUAUAGUGUAUGGAUUUUAUAUAUGUAUUUUGUUUCAUGUUUGAAGACACUCAUUGGUUAUUAUUGUUUGAAAUGAAUCUUUGGUUAUUAUUGUAUAAACUCAUCUUGUAUAUUGCAGAGUGAAAGUGUUAAUGGGACGAACGCGGGAAGGAAGAGCUUGGCGGAGGAUAAAGGUCCAAACGUGCCCGCAGCUGUGCCCGCAGAUGCUAGUUCCUCGAAAGAUAAAACUCCAGAACCGAGCCUUGUUCUAUUGGACAAAAAUCAACCCACAAUUUCGGAUUUACAGAAGGAGGAUGCUAGAUAUCAGGAAAAGGGGGAUGCUGCUUUCGCACUUUGCCGUGCAAGCUGGACAUAAAGAAGAAGUAUGAGCUGUGGAGUCUCGUUGGUCCACAACCUGUGAGGUUUUCACUAUUAGAGUUUGAAAACCUCACUGGUCUAAACUGCGAGUACAUCAAGGACCUUGAGAGACCUCACUGUGUUGUUACAAAGGAGUUGACUUCUUUUUGGGAGAUGUUGGGAGUUCAUGUCGAAGCUGGGCCUUCUACUCAGGAGAUAAUAGCAGCAUUUGAGAGAUGCGAAGGGUGGUCUCGGGAUGAUCGCAAGCGGCUCGCGUACCUUGCCAUCUUCACUGGAUACAUUGAAGGGAGAAAGUAUUCAACCCCUACACGGGUUAGCUUGGCAAGGCUAGUGAUGGAGCUAGAACGGUUUGAGAAUUAUCCAUUGGGGAGAGUCGCGUUUAAGGUGCUGAUGGACUCUGUGAAGGGCAGAGAUAUUUCGGGUUGUUACACUAUUAAUGGGUUUGUGCAAGCUCUCCAGGUCUGUGUACACAGCUCUUCCGGAAUUGGGUGCUACUUAUGGUAAUCCUCUCCCAAACAAUCCGUCUCCACCGAUACUGGCUUACAAGGGUCGCAAAGGAGGCAUACAGUUUAAAGAGGCUAUCAUCAGUCAGGUAUUUACUUCAAUCUGGACGACUUUGCAGAAGACUUAUAAUUAAGUCGUCUGAUAAGUCUUCCAACUGGACGACUUAGUAGAAGACUUAUAAUUAAGUCGUCUGGAAAGUCUUCCAGCUGGAUGACUUAGUAGAAGACUUAUAAUUAAGUCGUCUGGGAAGACUAUCCAGACUACUUAAUUAUAAGUCUUCUACUAAGUCUUCCAGCAGGAAAACUUUCCAGACGACUUAAUUAUAAGUCGUCUACUAAGUCGUCCAACUGGAAGACUUUCCAGACGACUUAAUUAUAAGUCGUCUACUAAGUCGUCCAACUGGAAGACUUUCCAGACGACUUAAUUAUAAGCCGUCUGCGAAGUCUUUUCUUUCCUUCUUUCUUUAUCCGUCAAAUAUCUAAGUUCAUAUCUUCUAUUUACUGCAGACUAGGGUGAUCAACUUUGUUCAGAAGGACAUUGGUCAAAUGUUUCCAAAAAGGGAGUUUGAUGUUGAGGACAUGCCCGCGGAGAACAUAAUUAAACUCAUGUUUGUGAAGAAACCGUGGAAGUGGACCAUGGAUUGCUGGAAAGUCACCGGUACUUGGGUCAGUACAAAAUCGGCGGUUGUGAGUCCAGCGAAGAAAAAAGUAGUGAAGGAAGACAAUCCAAGACCUCAAAAGAAAGCUCGUAAAGAGGCACCUGCAGAGGCUAGUGAAGAGGCAGCUGCAAAGGCUAGUGAAGAGGUGACUAUGACUGUCGGUGGGUUGACCAAAGAGGAUAUUAAAACCAUGUUCAAGGACAUAGCUGAUGCCAUGAGGGAAGGGUUUGAGACGUGUCUUAAGGAGAUCAAGUAUCUGUCGGAAAUGGUGGAAGCUGUGGAGAAGAAGGUUGGUAUCACCACAAAACGGAAAGGGACAUCAUCUCAAAACACUACCUCUCCACCUAAACCGACGCUCAAACCCGGGGUUAGUAACGAAUCCUCUCCCAACAAGAGAUUGACUAGACAAAGUCUUAAGAAUAAGAACUGAAAAGUUGCAUUUGCUUUGUUUCUUGUAUGUCAGAACAUGUGUGCUUUGUUUAUAGUGUAUGGAUUUUAUAUAUGUAUUUUGUUUCAUGUUUCAAGACACUCAUUGGUUAUUAUUGUUUGAAAUGGAUCUUUGGUUUUUAUUGUAUAAACCCAUCUUGUAUAUUGCAGAGUGAAAGUGUUAAUGGGACGAACGCGAGAAGGAAGAGCUUGGCGGAGGAUAAAGGUCCAGAUGUGCCCUCAGCUGUGCCCGCAGAUGCUAGUUCCUCGAAAGAUAAAACUCCAGAACCGAGCCUUGUUCUAUUGGACAAAAAACAACCCACUGUUUCGGAUUUACAGAAGGAGGAUGCUAGAUAUCAGGAAAAGAGGGAUGCUGCUUUCACACAUUGCCGUGCAAAGAGUGAUCGAACAAGGAAACUUGAUGCCUCACAGCAAUCUCCUUAUACGGCAAACUGCACGGCCAGAGUGAUCAUUCCAAACAAAAAGCUUUAUCCAGGCUAUAAUCCUUUUGCACCAAUUGACAAGAAGAAGUUGAAGGAGCUCGCUGAUUGGUUGAAAACUUUUCCGUAAGUGUUUGCUUUUCCCAUGAUAGCUUGCUUUUCCCAUAAUAGCUUGCUUUAGUCUACAAAAACUGAUUGCUUUUCAACAUUUUGUGUUUGCAGUCAUUAUAGAACACAUCUCGAUAAAAAACCACGAAAAAGUAGAACUUGGUGGUAUCAAAUCCCCCGAACCUCCUUAGAUUGGCUGGAGGACUGUGUAAGUCUUCUGCUAUGACUUAGAUGACUUACUGAUUAGUCUUCUUUGUAGACGACUUUCCAAUAAGUCAUCUGGUAAGUCGUCUACGUACACGACUUACCAGACGACUUAAUUCGUCCAUGAAUUACUUGUAAGUCGUCUACGUAGAAGACUUACCAGUAAGUCGUCUGAUAUCUUCUGAUUUGUACCCUAUUUUAUAUGCAGCAUAUUGAUGCUUGGAUUAAUGUGUUGAGGAAGAGGUACAACGCUAACCAACAUCAUUUCAGGAGCGAGAGAAUGUGCUUCCUUGAUCAUCUCUUUGCUCAGCAAUGGAGAUUCAACUUCAAGGAUUUUAAGGACUCGAAGCCCGAUCAGAACGGUUUAGGAAGAAGACUCCCUGGUGGGGUGGAAUUAUUAUGCAGGCACUAUACCAUCAUUUUGCCAAUCAAACAAGGUUUGGGGGACGAAUAUUGAUGAUAUCUAUGUGCCAGUGAACUAUGCCGACACUCAUUGGAUUGCUAUGUGGAUAUUGAUCCCUAAGAGGCACAUAGUCGUCUUUGACAACAUUUGUUCCAGUAUCUCCCCAGAAGAACUUGAUGUGGUAAUGGAGCAUUUUCUCUACAUGGUCCCUUAUCUGCUUGUUGAGUGCGUUUCCUCAGACGAACUACGUGCCCAAUACAGCCUGGAGCCAUUCACAUAUGAGAGACCGACCAAUAUACCUCCGGCCCGAGCUGGUGAUUGUGGUGUGUACACUCUAAAGUACAUUGAAUGUCAUGCUCUUGGGAUAGAGUUUAGUAAAAAAGACUUUGCUAAGGCCAACGGGAAGACUAUGAGGGAUAAGAUGGCGGUUGAUAUAUUUCAAGAGCUUCCUGAUGCGCAUGAGUUCGAAAACAAGGACAAUGAUGCCAACCUGGGUGUGUAUGAGGGGUGAUAAAUAGGCUACGUUAGAUUAUUUUGUAUGAUAGAUUAGGCUGAUGUGUGUAUUUGAACUUGAUUGCUAUUUUGUAUUUGAACUUGAUCCCUAUUUUGUAACUAUAUUCUGCGCAGAAGACUUACAGUUAAGUCGUCUAGAAUGUUGGACGACUUAACUAUAAGUAGUCUGGAAAAUCUUCUGAGCAGUGACCUUUUGUAACUAUAUUUCGGAUAAUAUAAAGGGCAAGACCAUCUCAAAUUUGUUUGGUAGUGCAAUUUGACAAAGAAGUUGACACAGAUAAGUUCAUAACACAAAAUUUUAAUAUAUAGACUAAACACUGGACGACUAACUGGAUGACCUUCUGGACGACUUAAUUGAAGGUCUUCGGGAAGACUAAACACUAGACGACUAACUUGAAGGUCUUCUGGAAGAAAAAACCCUGGACGACUAACUGGACGACCUUCUGGACGACUUAAUUGAAGGUCUUCUGGAAGACUAAACACUGGACGAAUAACUUGAAGGUCUUCUGGAAGAAAAAACCCUGGACGACUAACUAGACGACCUUCUGGACGACUUAAUUGAAGGUCUUCUGGAAGACUAAACACUGGACGACUUACUUGAAGGUCUUCUGGAAGAAAAAACCCUGAACGACUAACUGGAUGACCUUCUGGACGACUUAAUUGAAGGUCUUCUGGAAGACUAAACACUGGACGACUUACAUUGUGGUUUCGUAUGGCCAGUUCCUUGCAUUUUGAGCAUCUAUAAACCCUGUGUUGCUUCCGGGGUUUGCGUCCUCUCAUCCUGGAUAGCUCCAACCAAGAUUGCCAUCUUGAUUUCUUCUGUCUUCCCAGACCACGCUUUACAUCCGGAGGAAAGCAUGUGCGUUCCUCAACUUGUUGUCCAACACAAGCAUAUAUAUUCUCUGAGUAUCCUGCAAACAGAAAAUCCUUUGAGUACACUGGACAUACAAGUGUGGAGAUAUGCAAACCAGCAGAUGUUCCAGCAGCUAUAGCAUGAGAGCAAGGUAUUUUUUCCACUGCAUAGACACCACAAUCACACUUUCCAUGUUCCAAAUCAACCACACAGUCCAUUUUGCCACUUUUCACAAAGAAUCACCAUCCAUCAAUUGGUUGUACCGUCAUCAUAUCCGCUAUCUCCGAUCGAACAACAAGCAAGUAUUCAACACCUCGACUAUGUUGAGUUGGGAGACUCAAAGCAUCUUCUCUCCUUUUCCAAAACCACUUUCCUAGCUUCUCCCUUAUGAACUCCAACAGGAACUGAACCGGAAAUCCUUUAGCUCGCUUCAGAGCAGAAUUAAUAGAUUCAACGAUGUUGCUUGUCUUUAUGUUGUACCUGUCCCCCUGACAAUAAACCCUUGACCAUAGGCUGACGUCGGCACUCUCCAAAUACGUUGCAAGGUCCGGGUUUGCACUCCGUAUCUCAGCCAUGUACCGGUCAAAAUCUGAAACCGUAUGAGCAUAAGCAACACCUUUCACCAAGUACAAGAGAUGUUUCCCUUUAUACUUUUUGACAAUGUUCUCUUGAAGGUGAUAAUAACAUAUUCCUCGGGUUGCCCAAGGAAACACCUUAUCACACGCACUUUUAAUGGCCGCGUGCCGGUUGGAGACUAUCACCAGAGGCUGCUCAUCAGAUACACAACAAGCCAAUUUUGUGAAAAAUCAUUCCCAAGAAGGUUCAUCUUCAGCAUCUAUGAUCCCAAAAGCCAAUGGAAAUAUCUGAAAAUUCUCAUCUUGUACGGCUGCAACCAACAUAACACCUCCAUACUUCCCACUUAGGUGAGUCCCAUCCACCACAAUGACCAUUCUUUGAUACUUAAAACCUUUGAUAGAAGCUCUAAAAGAGAAAUAUAUACUUAAAUCUAUUGAUAGGAUCAAGUUCUAUAGCCGUGAUAGAAUCGGGAUUUGCUAAGGAGAUUAGCUCGAGAUAUGAUGGCAGACGCGAAUACCCAUCUUCUGCUGAUCCUCUCACCAAUGUUUGUGCAUAUAAAAGUGCUCUGUAUGAAGUGGUGUAAUCACGCGUCAUGCCAAACAUGUUCUUCAUUGCAUCAGUGAUAUGCUGCGGAUUCAACCCAUCAAUGAUUCCAACACGAUCAAUGAAAAGCCUACCAACAUACUUCAGAGUACAGUGUCUCCGCUGAGCGAAUCGGUCUCCCACUGAGCAUGUAUGUUUUUCCACAUACUUUGUUACCCAAAACGUGUUUGUCCCAUGUUUCACACUCGCUCUGACUUUCCACUGACAACCACUAACCGGACAUGUUGUCACAAGGAGAGUUUUCGUUGACUUGUAUAUUCUGAAGGAGAACCCAAACCUCACUGCUGUCAACCGCAGCUCUGAAAUCAGUGCAUCCUUGCUAACAAAACUCUAAUUGACAUAGAUAGUGUUACCAUUCGAUCUUCCUCCUUCAAUCUUUUUGAUAUCUUCAAAACACAUAUCAUCAUCUUCCUCAUCCUCAUCUUCAACCUUUCCAUAAACACUGUAAUCCUAACCAUUCUCGUCCGUUUCAGCAACAAUAGAGAUACCAACAUCCUCCUCCCCAUCGUCCUCCUCCCCAUCAUCCUCCUCCCCAUCAUGAUUUUCAUCUUCAACCAAAUCAUCAUCAUCAUCAUCAUCAUCUUCAAAACAUUCAUCAGCUUCAUCAUCUUCUUCCCUGAACUAUGAAACCGUUUCCACCUUGCUACGGCUUGAUACACAAAGCUGUACUCCAUGUGUUUUGGUUAUCUCGAGCAAGUUUCGAACUUUUCUAUCACUUGUAACAUGAAUAGGAGGGGUGUCUGGAGCCUGCAUCAUUUCUGCUGAUAAUGAGUAGUAGGUUAUCUCCACAGAUUCUGUGCUCAUGUCCAGGUUAUAAUCUUCUUGAGCCAUUGCAAGAAGUUCAACAUGUGUCGACAUGCUCCUUCCCCAAAAAAAAUGAUUCUCGCUCCUUUGACAUUAUCAACCACAAAAUUCCAACGGCAGUCUUUCAACAACCAUUCUCCAUACACUGCAUGUAACUGACGCAUCAUCUACAAAAAUUAAAAAUAAAACACAUUAGUAAACAUAGAGAAAAUGAAAGUUUACUAAACAUUGACGCAGACGACAUACCAGUAAGUCGUCUGGAAGACUUACCAGUAAGUCGUCCAAACAGGUCAUUUUUGAAAUUGAAUUUUAAAUAGGACGAUUUACAAGUAAGUCGUCCAGUUUUGUUUGUUAAAAAAAACCCCUAUUUUAUUAAACGGGUUAGUUUUGCAUUUGACUGAAUUGUGUCAGAUAUUUGACUUUUUCUGGACGACUUACCAGUAAGUCGUCUCCGGGAAAACAAAAAUUUCAAUAUUUUAUUAAAGCUAGACAACUUAUUUGUAAGUCUUCUCAGGUUAGUUUGCAAUUCGAAAAAGAAACUUAAAUAUUUUAGUUUACCCAGACGACUUACUUGAAAGUCGUCCAGGCAGACAACGUACGAGAAAGUCGUCCGAGAUAAGCAAGGUUUGACCAUAAUCUAGGAAAUAAAUCUGGACGACUUUGCUUAUCCUGGACGACUUUCAAGUAAGUCGUCUUACUUGACGACUUCCGCAUAAGUCGUCUGGGAAAAGUUAAAUAUUUAAGUUUUAUUUUCCAAUUGCAAAAGUAACUUGAGACGACUUACAGAUAACUCGUCCAUCUUUUAUAAAAUAUUGAAAAUUUUGUUUUCUCGGAGACGACUUACUGGUAAGUCGUCCAGGAAAAAUCAAAUAUCUGACACAAUUCGGUCAAAUGCAAAACUAACUCGUUUAUCCUAGACGACUUAUCAGUAAGUCGUCUAGGGUAUUGUCUAGGAUUUUUUUUAACAAACAAAGAUCACGACUAAAAAUUAAGUCGUCCGUUUGACCAGAAGACUUACCCGUAAGUCUUCUACAGCCAGACUACUUACGGGUAAGUCCUCUACACAAACAGAUCUAGAAAGAAUUUCAAUUUCAUACCUUAAACUAGUGAGAUGACUUCCUUAUCACACAGAGUCUUCUCCAACCACCCAGAAUCUCAAACGAAAGUAACCCACCAAGAAUAGUAUGCUUGAAUGACUUUAUCAACCAUAAAAAAAAUUUGAAUCAAAAGCUUGAGUUUUUUGGAUGAAUAUGGAAGCAAAGUGAAAGAGAUGUUAUUUUUAGUUCAUAACAAGUGAGAAAGAGAGAGUGUAAAUCGAUUUUAGGUGCAUUAAGAACUUGAAAUUGGUUGUUCAUGGUGGUUGGGGUAUUGAUGACAAUGACAAUCUUGUAAUUACUUGAAAAUGAUGAGGGUGAGAGAGUAAAAAUGUCAUUUUCGGAAAAAAUAAAUAAAAAAAUUUGAUGGGGUGAAUAGGACAAAAAAAAUCUAAGAAAAGCAUGAGUUAGUUUUAGGUUUGACUUUAAGUUUUGAGUCAAUUUGAAAAAAAAACCCUACUUUUAUUUGGUUCGGUCGUGUGGACAAUUAUUUUUUGAAAAUUCAUUUAAUUAUUAGUGUAGGGGACCAAUAUGUGUGGAAACUUGACUAUUCGACACAAAGAUAUUGCUUUUGAUGUGAUGAAUAUUUGAUUUUUCACCAUGGAUUUUUCUCCGUGGAUUUUUCUUUGUGGAAUAAAUACACAGUCUGUUAUUAUGUAUAUAAACAGAUGGACAUGGAAGCAAUGUUACUCAUCACCAAUUUUCUUUUUGUUAUUGCUCUUUCAAUUUUGAUAUUCAGGAAUGAAAGGUUUUCGGAGCUUAACGAGUACCAGUUUUCUUACUCUUUUUAUACUUUUCUUAUUCGGUUACAAUUCUGAGGUAGCGUCUACGGUUCCUACUAGACACUUGUGUCGUCCGGAACAAAGGAAUGCACUUCUCCAGUUGAAGAACGAGUUUGAGGUUUUGAACUCUUCCUUGACUUAUAAUUGUAUUAUCAAUGAUGAAAUAGUAGACCCUCAUCCAAAGACGGAGUCAUGGGGGAAUUACAGCGAUUGCUGUACUUGGGAGGGUAUCACCUGCAAUGCCAAGUCUGGUGAAGUGAUCGAGCUGAACCUUGGUUGCAGCAACCUACGUGGCCAGUUUCAUUCCAAUAGCAGUCUUCAAAACCUUCAUUCUCUAACCACUCUAGUCCUUUCAGGAAAUCUUUUUAAUGGUCAAAUCAUGUCUUCAAUUGGAAACAUUUCUCAUCUCACCUCUCUGGACCUUUCUCAAAAUAAUUUCAGCGAGUUCAAUCCUUCUUCAAUAGUAGACCUUUCUUAUCUCACUUUUCUAGAUCUUUCUCGUAAUCGUUUUUCGGGUCAGAUUCCAUCUUCCAUUAGGAAUCUCUCUCCUCUCACCUAUCUUGACAUUUCUGGUAAUCAAAUUUCGGGUCAGAUUCCAUCUUGGAUUGGAAACCUUUAUAAGCUCACUCAUCUUGACCUUUCUUUGAACAAUCUUGUUGGUGAAAUCCCACCUUCUAUUGGUAAUCUAAACCAGCUGACCACCUUAAGUGUUUAUCGGAAUAAGCUAAAUGGAAGCUUGCCCAAUGCACUACUGAAUUUGACAGAGUUGUCAAAUUUAGAACUCAACUUCAAUCACUUCACAGGCACAUUUCUUCCUAACGUCACUUCACUAUCCAAAUUGACGCAUUUGGAAGCAGCUACCAACAUGUUCACUGGAACCCUGCCUUCAUCUCUCUUCACCCUUCCUUCUAUUGAUACUGUUAUUCUGUCUGAUAACCAAUUCAAUGGUAUUCUUGAGCUUGGGAAUAUAUCUUUACCCUCUAAGCUACGAGUGUUAGAUGUUGGCAACAACAACUUGAGAGGGCCAAUCCCGGCCACGUUAUCCAAAUUUACCAACCUUGACCGACUUGUCCUUUCUUAUUACAAGACACAAGGUCCAGUUGAUUUUAGUAUCUUUUCGCAUCUCAAAAAGAUGGAAGAUCUUGACAUAUCCUAUUUGAACACGACCACCACGAUUGAAUUGAAUGAUUUCUUGUCACAUUUCAAGAGGCUCCGUUGGGUGGUUCUCUCAGGCAACCAUGUUUCUGUCACAGAUAAGAGUCCAGUUUCAGAUCCCCCUUUGCGAUUGAUGUAUAAGUUGUACUUGUCAGGCUGCGGUAUCACCGAGUUUCCUAAGUUUGCAACAGCGGAAAAUAUGUCGAGUCUAGACAUUUCCAAAAAUAAAAUCAAAGGAAAAGUGCCGGGCUGGUUAUGGACGACGCUACCGAAUCUGGAUUAUCUAAAUCUUUCCAACAACUCUUUCACCGGCUUCGAAAACUCAACGAAACAUGGGCUAUCUAUGACAAACUUCUUAGCAUCCAACAACAAUUUCAGUGGAAAUAUUCCAUCUUUCAUAUGCGAUUGGCGCGGUCUUGCCACUCUUGAUUUAUCGAACAACAACUUUAAUGGUUCAAUCCCUCGUUGUAUGGGAAAUCUCAAGAGUUCUCUUUUAGAUCUAAACCUUCGUCAAAAUCGUCUUAACGGAGGUCUUCCUGAGAAUAUAUAUGAAAGCUUAAGAACGCUUGACAUCGGUCAUAACCAACUGACGGGAAAGCUUCCAAGAUCAUUGAUCCGUUUCUCUAGUCUUGAAGUUCUGAACGUGGAAAGCAACAUUAUCAAUGACGUGUUCCCGUCUUGGUUGAGUUCUCUACCGGAGCUUAGAGUUCUUUUAUUAAGCUCAAAUGCCUUCCAUGGACCAAUACCUCAAACUUCGUUCCCUAAGUUACAAAUCAUAGACAUAUCGCACAAUCACUUCAAUGGAGCUUUGCCAUCAGACUACUUUGUUAAGUGGAGUGCUAUGUCAUCACUUGUGACAGAUUAUGAUCUGGACCAAAAGUACAUGAGAGAUUUCUAUUACUAUAAUUCAAUAGUUUUGAUGAAUAAAGGCUUCGAGUUGGAGCUACAACGUAUCUCACAAGUCUUCGCAGCACUCGACUUUUCAGGAAACAAAUUUGAAGGAGAGAUCCCAAGGUCCAUCGGUCUAUUGAAAGAGCUUCAUGUUCUCAACUUGUCCAACAAUGCUUUCACCGGCCAUAUCCCAUCGUCUCUGGGAAACCUGACGGCUCUUGAGUCACUGGACGUUUCCCAAAACCAGCUGUCAGGAGAAAUUCCGCAAGAGCUAGGGGAACUCUCGUUUCUUUCCUACAUGAACUUCUCUCAUAACCAGCUUGCAGGUCUAGUACCUGGAGGCACUCAGUUUCGAAGGCUGAAUUGCAGUUCGUUCGAGGAUAACAUGGGACUUUUUGGCCCUUCUCUAGACGAAAUUUGCAGAGAUAUUCACACGUCAACAGUGACGCAACAGUAUGAAAUGCCGGAAUCAGAGGAUGUAGAAGAGAUGUUGAGUUGGACAGCAGCUUUAAUAGGAGUCUUACCUGGUAUUGCCUUUGGAUGGGUUAUUGGAUACAUACUUGUUCCUUACAAACCAGAGUGGUUCAUGAAACUCUUUUUUCUACGUAGACGCAGACACCACAACUCAUUAAAGAGGUAAUGUUCCGAGUUUUGAACCAAUUUGUUAACAAACAUUUGAAAAAAACAAAAAUAUAUUAGUUAAAAACCUUUUUGUUGUACAGGUUUUUCGUAACAUACGUGAAGAAUCUGAAAGAAGAAAUUUAAAGCAACCACUAUGUAUGAAUCCAGAUUAGCUAGCAUUAGGGGUAUCGUUUCCGGUUUAGUUUGGUGUGUUUUCCCAUUACUCCUUUAUAUAACUUUGUUUGAAAGAUUGUUUGUUUCUCUGUUAUUGUUUCCGGUAUAGUUUGGUGUGUUUUCUCUCUCUGCCUCUCUAUUUUAUUUUUUACUUUUAGCCAACUUCUUUGUGUCUCUGUAAUUGAACAACUAUGUUCCUUACGUCAUCUAAAUAUCAACGGUAUAGACGUGAUCAGAGCAACAAACAUAUGACCAAGAUCAACGCUAUAAGCAGCACGUGACUUUGGAAAAAGGAUAUACAAACUUUUUUUUGGUUAGAGGAUAUACAUACUAUAUAUGGAUAUUUCGAUUGUUCAUGUCAAUGAAACAUAUGAAUACAUAGAAACUCUAGACCUUUCAAAUAUUUGUAUCAAAAGAAUCCAUUUGCUAUCAAAAGGUUCAAGAUAUCGAGAAUCUUUGGAUUAGUUAAGUUGUUAUUAGAGCAUCUCCAAUAUAAAACGCCAUUUUUUCCUCCAAAAUGGGUACCCAUUUUAAGAUUGUUAGGCUUUUUGAAAGUUUUUUUGACAAAACAAAACAAAAGGAAAACAAGUUUUGCAUUGAAGUCAUGCCAAAGAAGUUGCAUGAAUUUUUUUUUUUUUUGAUAACCGAGUGUCCUGGUCCCACCGUGGUGGUCCAGACUAGAGACCGAGUCCGUAGCAGGUUCAACACCCAGACAAUGGUCUUCGGUCUCGGGCGCCAGAGCAAGUCCGCAUGUGAAUUCCCUGGUGGCCAGUGGAAAUCGAACCCGGGUCCGUAUUGGGACCGAAGCUCCCUCAAGACCACUAGGCUAACCCCGCUGGUCAAGUUGCAUGAAUUAAAUCUAGCAAAAACUAGCAGUGAUAAUCAUUGAUCUAGGUUCUUACCUUUAGAUAAAAUUACUGGUUAUAACAAAAAGAAAAGCUCAAAUCUGAUGCCUAUCACACCCUUCACCAAGAACAAACGAGGAAUCUGGGUGGAAAAAUAAACUUACAAGAAUAACAAAGAGAUCACAAUCUUUAUGCUUAUUGUGACCACUGUUAAUAAAAGGAAAAUGACAAAGCUUCUCCUAGAAUUUAACACAACAAAGGAUUCCAUGCGAUUGCUGGAAAAAUCUUGUCGGAUAAAAACAUGACGAUUAUUUACAUGGUUUCUCUGUCCAAAAAAAUAUAAACAGAACUAAAUCUAUAAAAUAUCUUUCAAAUCAUUUAGCAUCACUCUGAAACACUAUGCAGCCUAAAAUUGUACUGUUUUUUCUAUACACCUAAUUUUCAUGUCUUUCAUUGGUUUUGAGCUAAUUCACCCAAAGAGAGAACUUACUUUGAUCUGACAUUACAAAAAGAUAUGAGUACAUGAAGUAAGAUCUAACCAAAUCUUUUUACAUGAUUUUGCCUAUCAAAAACGUAGAGUUAAUUUUGGAGGAAUAGGAGCAGGAGAGUCGCAAUUAAUUAUGCACAGUCUAUUGGUACGUAGUUAAUUAUGAGAAAGUUCUUUGGUAGGAACACUAAUUUCUCAUUAAAAUUUGGGUUUAACGAUCAUCUUCCAAUUUAUAACAAAAUUCCUCUUGGAUCAACCUAUAUUUUAAUUUCCUUGAUUGUCUUUUUAAAGUCUUGCUUCCCUUUUGUUUAAUGUCCACAAUCAACAAAAAGAGACAUCCAACUGAUUGGUUAUUUAAGUCUCUCUCUGGUACGUUAUCCUUUGAAUUUUCAACAUUAUACUUUGCAUUUUCUCUCCUUAUUUCCCCUCAAGGACCCCAUAACUUUCUCCAAACUCCAUAAAGUAUUUGGAGCCCGCAACGUCAGUAAGCUUCUCAGUGAGGUCCUUGAAGAACAGAGACAAGAAACCGAUAACUCGUUUGUCUUAUGAGACUGACGUUCGUCUCAAGGAUCCAGUUUACGGUUGCAUUGUAGCCAAUAGCUUCUCUGCAGAAGAAGAUGCUUGAGCUUGAACAUGAUAUAGCCCUUGCUCGCUCUCGACUACUUGGCCAUUCUGGAGUUAACAACAACAAAGCUGCAGUCUACUCUGAUGCCGUUCUCUGAGUUUUGAUCACGAGGAGAAGGGAGAUGCAUUGUAUGGUGAAUUUAAUUCAAGCUCAGGCAGCUAUGCUCGUAGCAAGCUUUUCGUGCAAGCUAUGAAUUGAAGCAUGUAAUUUCCAUGUCCUGGAGUCUUCACUUGAAAACAAUGAUAUUUUUUCUCAUAUAUGCUAUGGUUUUUUAUCUAUGCGUACGUGCUACGGAAGCGAAUAAUGACGUCAUCUUAUUUUCAUAUGCUAUAUUUAUUUUUAUUUUAAUUUCCAUGUGCUGGAGGGAGAGCUUCUUCGCGCCUAUUUCUCACGAAGAACGCUCCUCACCUCAUUCCCUCUCUCCCUCAUCAUGCCCAAAUCCAACGACGGCGGCGCAGAUUCCGAGUCCGAGUCCGAGUCCGUCCCGCUGCUCGAUCUAUCGAAACCGUCAUCACCGAUCUCCUUCCCGAUCAAAUCUCUCCAAUAUUUAAAAUCACGUUCGUACUUCGACUCUUUCCACUUUCAGUUCAAUCGCUCCACAGUCCCUCUCCGGCGAGACUUACCUGAUCGGCCAAGGGUUUUAGUCUGCCACGAUAUGAAAGGAGGGUACGUAGACGACAAGUGGAUCCAAGGGUGUGAAAACGACGCCGGGUUUGCUAUUUGGCAUUGGUUUUUGAUGGAUGUGUUUGUUUACUUCUCUCACUCUCUGGUGACGAUUCCUCCUCCUUGCUGGACCAAUACAGCUCACAGGCAUGGCGUUAAGGUGAAGAUUAGGCAUUCUUGUGGAUACAUUAGUUUAUUAGGAUGUGUAGAUAUGAAUUGGGGUUAAGUAUUUACUUUCUUGUGUAUCUAUGGAAAUGUUAAAAAGGUGUUGGGGACUUUCAUCACGGAAUGGGAUGAAGGAAAAGCUACCUGCAAUGAGAUGCUUGCCACUAAGGAGUCUGCUCAGAUGUAUGCUGAGCGUUUGGCUGAGCUUGCUACUUCUCUAGGUUUCGAUGGAUGGCUGGUGAGUUUUGUCUUUUGGUAGAUACUUCUUGAUUCUUCUGUUCAUCUGCGUUUGAAGUGUAAGCUCUUACCUGCAGAUAAAUAUAGAGAACGAAAUAGAUAAAGAACAGGUUCCUAAUUUGAUGGAGUUCGUCAGCCAUCUAACAAAAGUCUUGCAUUUAUCCACUCCUGGGUCUUUGGUUAUAUGGUAAGUUGUGCACAAGUUCUUUCUUUUGGUAAAACCACUUUGAAUCUGAUCACUUCUUUUUGCAGGUACGAUAGUGUCACUGCUCAUGGCCAUCUUAAAUGGCAAGAUCAUUUGAAUGAAAAGAACAAACCUUUCUUUGACUUGUGUGAUGGUAUCUUCAUGAACUAUACAUGGAAGGUACCGUUCAAUUUCUUCAGUUUGUGUUUCUUCUAUAUGCAUUUGCCUGGUAUUUGAGUGGGUGAUGGUAUUUCAGGAGAGCUACCCAAAAUUAUCAGCUGAAGUUGCCGGGGACAGAAAAUAUGAUGUUUACAUGGGAAUUGAUGUCUUCGGUCGCGGCUCCUUUGGUGGUGGUCAAUGGACUGUAUGUUUUCAGAAACUCUUGUGAAAACCAACCAAUAAUUUUUCAUAUUAUUCUUCUUCAUUGUCUCAUUAAUAUCUAUAUAUAUGCUAGGUUGAUACUGCUCUUGAUUUGCUGAAGAGAAACAAUGUAUCAGCGGCCAUCUUCGCUCCUGGAUGGGUAUAUGAGACUGCACAACCACCUAAUUUCCACACAGCUCAGAAUAAGUAAUACUCUUCUUUUGCCUGUUUGAUUGUCAAAGAAAUUUUGCCAUUUUCUUUGUCAUCUUAUUAUCGUUCAUGCUUUUUUUCUUCAGGUGGUGGUCACUUGUUGAGAAGUCAUGGGGAAUAGUCCAAACAUAUCCACAAGUGUUGCCAUUUUACUCGGAUUUCAAUCAGGUCAAGUGAGAUUGAUUUCAACUUUCUUCCCAUCUUGUUAGAAUAACACCAGGGUAAAGUAUGCAUCGACUGUCUUGCCUAUGAUUUAUGUUCUGAAAAACUCUGUUCUUGCUUAUCCAGGGCUUUGGUAACCAUGUAUCACUCGAGGGUCGCCAGUUAUCUGAUGCUCCAUGGUACAACAUUUCUUGCCAGAGUCUUCAGGUUCAACCAUCUUUAUUGUCCACUCUUUAACUCCACAUAUAAUAUUUACACGAACCAAAAACUUAUUUUCUUGAUCUGGGUUUGUCUCUCCUCUCAUCUGAUUGUUGUGUUAUUCACGUCAGCCACUCCUCGAGUUCAAGGAAGACAACACUGAUAUCAUUCAGGUCACUAUUGAGUGAGUUCUGGCCCCUGAUACUAAAAAAAAUGUUUUUAACUUCUUGUUGAUUUAGAUACAUUUGUUUGCAAACGGAUAACGGUGAGCACAUGACUUUGUUUAGUACUAGAGAUGCAUCUUAUAACGGAGGAGGGAACAUCGUUUUUAAAGGAAGACUCGAGGGAGAUGUGUAUUUCACAGCAAGGCUCUUUAAACCUCUCCUUCAUCUUUCUUCUUCCCCCAUCACAGUCUCCUACUCUGUAAGUCCCUUGCUUUUAGAUACAUCACAUUAUGAGAUGAUCUUGUUUCUCUUCCUAAUGGAUGAUUUUGGAUUUGGUGCAGGUGAAAUCAGAUGAGACUUUUAAACUUGGACUCCUGCUUUCUUUCUCGUCCGCAUCACACGGGACUAAAUCCAUACUUGUGGCGCCACAAGAACCCAUCCCUAGAUUAGAUCACAUGUUCUUGAAGUGCCUCGUUACAUCAGAGCAGACUGUAUCAGAGUGGACGGUACACGAGACAAGCCUUGUCAUGGAUGAACACACACUAACUGAAAUCUCUUUCUUUUGCUACAGAACAGAGAACUCGACGAAGGCAUCAGAGUACGUUGCAUUGCUCGGUCACAUUUCAAUCAAAGAUCAUGUUCAGCUCCUCCAGCAAAACUUCGUUUCCUUACCUCCAGCAUCAUCAUGGGUCAUCGAGGCUCAUAACAUAGAGCUCAUGGUAGAUUCGGACGUGAAAGGGGUCAGCUUCGUGGUGCAACCGUGUGGUGAAGAUGGGUUAUGGAGAAAGCUUGAUGAUUCCCCUAACCUUCUUGUGGACUUGGAGGGUCUCUCGUAGGUUGCUGGAAACAAUGAAACGAUUCAUAAUGUAUAUUACAAAAUUACAUUAAUCUAGAAAGUGGGGAAAACAUGAUAAAAAAAACCUGAACUGAUAACAGAUCAUCAUCGUACAACUUCUUAAAAAUAUAAUUAAUGUACAUUAAUUUCCUUGUAUUUUAUAAUUAUAAAGAGAUCUUUUCCUUGUGCUAUACCGCAUACAAAUUUUUGUGCUAUACGGUAUUAUCUUCGUUUUGUUGUUAUGCCGUAUAUCACAAGCAUUUGAAAAGAUUUUAGGUGUCCAUCAAAGAUUGUCCCCUUGAGGAACUUAACUAUUCUAAACACAGAGCCAAAUCUGGGUUCUGCAAUGCUGGCACAAGUUCAGUGUUCAACGAACUAAGCCAUUAAUACAGUGUUCAAUCAACCUGCCUUUUAACUGAAAAUUCGAGUAGGCUUGAGCAGCAAUUCAUCGCCUGUAUGCUAAAGAGAUGUGAUGAUGAUAGAGAUAUUGAUACUGCGGUGAUUGCUUGCGGAUCUCUCAUUUGAUUUGCCACUGAGAUGGUUAAGAGAGAGGGAGACCACGUGCAUGCAUGUGUUUGCAUGCACGGGGAAUAUGGCAAAGCUAUCAGAGAAUUGAGUUCAUAAACUUGACUGCUCCAAAGUUAUUGGAGACGUUUAGAACAUCAGUUGGUGCUGGGAUCGUCUUACCAACUAGUCUCUUCCUAGUCGUCUCUUUUCUGUAUAUUUUAUUGGAUGAAAAGUGAGAUGAUUAUCAACAAAACUUGUUAUUAAGGUGGUGAGAAGUAACAGAUGUGUGAUUCACCAAUUUGAUUACAUCCACAGACAAAAAAAGACUUUAUUAUUGGAGACGACUUUCAGAAUUAAAUUAGAGUUAUAAGAACACAAGAUAUUUAUAGAACAUCUCUAAUCUUCAAAAAAAAAUCUUAGUGUACAUCAGACUCAUGGGUUUAGGUCUCAUAAUCGAUACAAUUUCCAAUGAUGUAAUGCAUUUAAUGCAUAUCAACAAAACCAUUGUUUAAUGGAGAUUCGCAAGAAGAAGUCUCCUGACAUCACCUUCCUGAUGGAAUCAAAAAACACAGAGGAAACAAUUAGAAAAGAACUCCACUGGCUGAAAGAAGAAAACAACUUCAUAGUUCCCCCACAUCUGGAGGUGGAGGCUUGAUUCUCAGUUGGAAGAAAGAUGUAGAUUUAACAGUCCUAUCAUCCUCCCAAAACUACAUAGACACGAGGAUCAUCUCAAAGGGAAAAUCAUUCCUAGCUACCUUUGUUUAUGGUGAACCAGACCACACAAAGAGAAAUGCAUUUUGGUCUACUCUAUCCUCUCUACACCCAAAACCGAAAGGCCCAUGGUUCCUAACUGGAGACUUCAACGAACUAAUCGACAAUACUGAGAAGAAAGGAGGCCCAAUAAGAGCGGAAGGUACCUUUUUGGAGCUUUUCGAACCUUCCUCUCAGAGAAUGAUCUGUUUGAUCUUAAACACUCUUGUAAUCUCUUCUCAUGGAGAGGUAAAAGAGGAGAUCACCUAGUGCGAUGCCGCCUUGACAGAUCCCUCAGCAACCCUGAAUGGACAGAGCUCUUCCCUUCUUGCCGUUGCCAAUACCUCAAGUUUGAAGCUUCUGAUCAUCGUCCAAUCCUCUCCUACCUAGACACCACCAAGAAGAAAGGUCGCAAUCUAUUUCGCUAUGACAGACGACUCAAAGAUUGUAAAGAGAUAAAAGCACUAGUAACAGAGAUUUGGACAACCUGUGCAUAUCUUGGGGUAGAAGCAAGACUGGCUCUAUGUAGAAGAGCAAUCUACAAGUGGUGUAAGCUGUUCCAUGAGAACAGCAGAAAAACAAUUGAGAAUCUCAGAGAGGAUCUAGAAUUUCAGAUGACAAGUGAGACUCCUAAUGGUGACAGGAUUAUAGAGAUAAAUAAGGGCUUCUUAAAAGCAUAUCAAUCCGAAGAAGCCUAUUGGAAACAAAGGAGUCGCCAACUCUGACUAACCUUAGGAGAUUCAAAUUCAGGGUAUUUUCAUGCCGUCACAAAAGCUAGAAAAGCAAAAAACAGAGUAACUGUCCUAGAGAAAGAUGAUGGAAUACCUCUUUUCGAAGAAGAUCAAAUUUCGGCUCGGUCUGCUCUUAUUACAACAAGAUGUUCACAGCAAAUCCCAGAGACGAUAAUGAGGACACAAUCUUCCGUGCUCUCAAACCUUGCGUGGCGCCAUAGUGGAAUGAAUCUCUCACCAGACACCCGUCCCCAGCAGAAAUUAAAGAUGCUCUCUUUGCAAUCCACGCAGACAAAGCACCUGGCCCAGACGACUUCUUCGCGAGCUUCUUCCACUUUAACUGGGACGUAAUUGGCCCCUCCAUUAUAGAAGAGAUCCAACGCUUCUUCUCCACAGGAAUUAUGCCCCCUAGUUUAAAUGAGACUCAUGUCAGACUUAUUCCUAAGAUCCAAACUGCAAAGAGAGUAGAAGAGUACAUACCUAUCGCCUUGUGUAACGUAUACUAUAAAGUGAUCUCCAAACUUCUCUUCCUGCACCUGAAACCAGUCCUUAAAGAGAUCAUCUCAGAGAACCAAUCUGCUUUUAUCCCUGGAAGAGCAAUAACAGACAACGUGUUAAUUACUCAUGAAGUGCUGCAGUAUCUGAAAACCUCACAAGCACAAAAACAAUGCUCAAUGGCGGUUAAAAUGGACAUGUCUAAAGCCUAUGACCGUGUUGAAUGGGAUUUCGUUGCACAAGUAAUGUCAAGACUAGGUUUUAGCAACAAGUGGACCAAUUGGGUAAUGCAAUGUAUCACAACAGUUUCCUACUCGUUCCUAAUAAAUGAUUCAGUCUACGGGAAAGUGCAACCUCACCGUGGCAUUAGGCAAGGAGACCCGAUCUCGCCCUAUCUGUUCAUCCUGUGUGGUGAAAUUCUUUCAGGCCUUUACAGAACAGCAGAGCUUCACGGAUCUAUGAGAGGAAUUCGCGUGGCCAGAGGUAGUCCCCACGUCAAUCAUCUUCUCUUCGCAGAUGAUACUAUGAUGUUCUGCAAUUUAUCAUCUGAAAGCUGCCUCUCUCUGCUCCAAAUCCUACAAGAAUACGAGAAAGUUUCAGGUCAAAAGGUCAAUAUAUCCAAAUCCUCUAUUACUUUCUCUGUCAAAACCCCACAAGAGGUUAAGAACUCAGCAAAACUCAUCUUGGGCAUUGAGAAAGAAGGAGGAGUGGGAAAAUAUUUAGGGCUUCCAGAACAUUUUGGAAGGAGGAAGAGGAACUUGUUUACCUCUAUAGUAGAUAGGAUCAGGCAGAGAGCCUCCAACUGGUCGACUCGAUUCCUAUCUCGAGCUGGCAAGCUCACUAUGCUCAAGCCUGUCCUGACUGCAAUACCCACCUACACCAUGUCAUGCUUCCAACUCCAGUAAGCCUCUGCAAUAGAAUCAAAUCUACACUUACUCGGUUCUGGUGGGAUCAUUCAGCAGAAAAGAAAAGCAUGUGUUGGGUGGCCCUGGACAAAUUAACCAAGCCAAAAGCCUCAGGGGGUUUAGGACCGAGAGAUAUUCAAUUAUUCAACCAAGCACUUUUGGGAAAAGUUGCCUGGAGAAUAUUAACCUCCCCCAACUGUUUACUUGCACGUGUUCUUACCGGGAAAUACUGCCAUAAGAAGAGCUUCCUAGACGCCCAACUCCCAGCAGUGUGUUCACAUGGUUGGAGGAGCAUCCUACAUGGCAGGGACCUACUCAAGGAGAACCUGAGAAAAGCAAUCGGCAACGGUCAGAAUACAAAAGUCUGGAAAGACACAUGGAUAUCAUUGGACAACAGUUCUAAGCCUAUGGGUCCAAUUCAUGAAUCUGCUCUCGAUAUGAGAGUCUCAGAUCUUCCCACUGAUGACUUACAAUGGAAAAAGGCGAGAAUUGAGCAAUACUUACCAGAUUUCAGCUCGCAGAUCCAAUGUAUAAAGCCAAGCAAGGUAGGGGCAGAGGACAUUUAUGUCUGACUCCCUCUUCAAACAUGAAUUUACUCAACCAAGUCUGGCUAUAACUCGCAUGCUCAACAAACUGUACCGUCGAAUCUCCACCUUCUAGCUAACCCCUCCUCACAGAAUGACCUGGAGUUUAAUUGGUUAAAAGAUGUUUGGUCAGCAAAAACGAACCCAAAGCUUAAGAUAUUCCUCUGGUCAAUCAUACAAGGGGCCUUACCAAUAGGCGCAAAGCUCAAAAGAAGGGGAAUGAUCUCCGCAGCUCACUGCCCCCGCUGCAACGAGGUAGAAACAUCAAUGCACACAUUCUUCCUCUGCCCCUUUGCUAAAGAAGUCUGGAACUACAUACCUCUCAAGUCACCAGUUCACAUAGCUGAGGACACUGAUUUCAGAUUGGAACUACUUCACUUCCGACAAGCAAUCUGUCUUCCCCCAACAGGAAUUCGAUCUCCCAUCCUCCCCUGGGUCUGCUGGUUCCUCUGGACGGCCAGAAACAAACUUAUUUUUGAAGACAAGAGCAGCCGUCCUGUGGAGAUAGCAACUAGAGGACUGUCAGCGGCUUUAGAAUGGGACGAAGCUCAAGAUGUGGAGAAAGAACAAAAGAGUAAUCACCUACCGCUCAAGGCCGCUCCAACACAGACGGAUCGAUCAAGCUACGAAAAUCCCUGCUUCGUAGACGCCGCGUGGGAUGUUUCCUCAAAGCAAGCAGGAGUCAUUUGAUGCAUACUCCUAUCAAGUAUCAACAAAACCAUCCAUACAUCUUUUGUUUUGCUUUUGUUAAAAAGACAGAAUAGCUACUGGCCAUAUAUUGAAGAAACAAGAAAACGAUCGAGCAAAGUCUGGGUUUUUCCUUACGAUCUCGCCCUGACUCCUGAGGAAUAUUAGUUGAAUAUUUAAUGUACUCACUAUCUAUGAUAGGCUCGAUCGUGAGUAUAUUCACGAGGAAGAGUUGAUUCUUCUGUCAUGAGGAAUGCUCUCACUAUUAUUUGAUUUCAAGAAGAUUGAUAUUUUGUUUAUUUUGAUUGAUUCUUAGAAAAGAGUUGAUUCUUUUUGUCAUGUUUGCAUAUAUUUCUCAUUUUGGAAGUCAUAAGGAAUAAACCAAAAAUAAGACUGUUCGCCGUUGAUUUUUCUUAAAAACGUUGAUGUUUUUUUUUAUUCUUACUAAAAAGAUUCAUUCAAUUAAGUCAUUUUGGUCUAGUGGUAAAGAAGUGCCGCUAAAGCUUUCGCCAUGGAUUUUUUUUUUAUUAAGUCAUUUCGGACUUUUCUCUUGGUCUUGUCUCAAGCAAGUACCCGAGCUGUCUACGGGGUUAGGUGGCUUAACGUUAUAGAACCGUCUCUCAGCGAAGCCAUCCAGGAACAAAAUGGUGUGGCGAGAUCAUCUACAGAAGCGGAGUAUCGUGCAGUUGCAAACGCAACAUCAGAAAUUAUAUGGAUUUGCAGUCUUCUCUCUGAGCUUGGGGUCUCGCUUCCAUCAGCUCCAGUCGUCUUCUGCGACAAUGUAGGAGCAACAUUCCUCUGUGCUAAUCCGAUAUUCCAUUCUCGCAUGAAACACAUCGCCAUUGACUAUCACUUUGUUCGGGGACAAGUACAACGCGGAGCUCUAACUGUUUCACAUGUCAACACUCGUGAUCAGUUAGCGGAUGCAUUAACGAAACCACUCACUCGAGCUCGCUUCUUGGAACUGCGGAACAAGCUUGGCGUGGCACCCACGCUGCAGCUUGAGAGGGUGUGUAAGAGAGAUACUAUAAAGAUCUCCUCUCAACUAUAGUAUAUACACAUUCCUCUGUUUUAGGAAAUGUUAGUUAUUAUCUAACUUAGUCUCCAAGACUAAACUCUGUAUAUAAACCUCUAUUGUACAUUACGUUCAAGAUAUCAAAAUACAUUUCCUAUACCCUAAAUAAGAUAAGUAAACACACAAAAAAGAGCAUUGCUCUAACUUAAAACCUAGUGAGUAAGAAUAAUAACAGUUUUCUCCAAUUUCGAUGAUCUCUCAGAUCCAACCAUUGCUCCCUUGCUCAACCACAGUAUAGCUUCUCCACAAUCUAAUCCCUACAAAUUCUUAUCUGUACAGCAACAACAACAACGCACAAUUCACGUUUUCAGUAACUCAUUUGAGCAGAUGCUCAAAGUUAUGGUUCCAAAUCAACAAUCUGAGACCUCACAAGGUAACAUAGAGUUUCAAUCUUCAAAAUCACAUAAGAAUGAAAAUUCUAACCAUAUAUUCACAAUUGCUUGGCAGAAACAGAGACCAAGAAAGUUCCCAUCCUCUACUUCGCGCCUUCGAUCCUCUCGUACACCUCUCCCAACUUCAAAAUUGCUCUCACCAGCUCCGUACACGAAGAUCCUUCACCUUCACUCGGAUCCACCUCCUCCACUCUCCGAUGCUUCCUCACCACAAACCCGCAGUCACCAGCGUCAUCAUCAUUGUCUAAUGUAGGAAACCAAAUAUGCAAAAUCAAAUACUUACUUCUGUCCUUUGUAAAAGAAACUUAGAUUAACUCUAAAAGUAAGGCAAGUCUCAGUCUGCCUCAAAAUCAAUGUGACAUAGUCUGCUCCAAAUUUUGAAACUCUCUUCAAAUUUUUUUGCUUCCUGUAAUGUCUACCCGCUGUGUUGCUUUUUUGGCUGUAUAUGUAACAUGCAAGGCUUUUAGGAGCUUGUGAUGAACAGAGGAAAACAGUUAACAACCUUGUUGUUCAUUGGCAUUGUAAACAAUUUGUUGAACUCAUCAAAAGAUUCUUAAGCUCCACAAUUUGUUUAAUUUAGCUGGUUUCGUUGAUGUUCCUUCUCGUACGUACUUAUCGUACCUUCCAACAAGAUUUGUCUACACUUCUCUGUUUUUGAUCUUCAUCUGCUUUUAGACCUCUAGAGGUCCUGACAAAAUCUAUUGGCUGACUAAUAAUAAUCUUAUUGUAGCAGCAGUUAGUAUACUUAAGUUAGACAACGAUUCGAGUCUUGAAGAGCGAGGUCAUGCUGAGAAGUUUAUGGAGUACCAGGUAUAGUUUCAAGAAUCUUUGACGAAUAUUAUGCUCUUGAUGAUCUCUUACUCUUUGACGAAUCAGCUAUGGAGCUUGCCCUAUCUUUGGAGAAACUCACUAAUUAUGAAAAGCUUCUCAUGUUGCAAAGUGUAAGUACCUUUUAUUGCAUCAUCAUUGAGUGGUAAUGCUGAGCCUUACGCAAAACAAUCCACUACCAAUUAAAUUGGUAAAAACAGGGUCGAAGCUAUCAAAGAUUGUCUCCUUGAGUAGCCUCACGAAUUCUAAAACAGAGCAAAAACUGGGUUCUGCAAUAAACAUAUUGAUUCACCGAGUUUGGUUACAUCUACAGACAAAACAAAAUUAUUAUUGGAGACGAUUUUCAGAAUUAAAUUAGUUAUUAGAAUUAGUUAGAACACAAGAUAUAUAUAGAAUAUCUCUAAUCUUGAAAGAUCUUAGUGUGCAUCAGACUCAUGGGUUUAGGUCUCACAAUCGACACAACUUCCAAUGAUGUAAUGCAUUUGAUGCAUAUCAGCAAAACCAUCGAUCCAUCUUUUGUUUUAUUUUUGUUAUAAGAGAGAAUAGCUACUGGCCAUAUAUUGAAGAAACAAGAACACGAUCGAGCAAAGUCUGGGGUUUUCCUUACCAUCUCGCCCUGAGGAAUACUAGUUGAAUAAUGUACUCACGAUGAUAUGGCUCGAUCAUAAGUAGAUUCACGAGAAAGAGUUGGUUCUUCUGUCAUGAAGCAUGUACUCACUAUUUAUUUGAUUUCAAGCAGGUUAAUAUUUUGUUCAUUUUGAUUGAUUCUUAGAAAAUAUUUGAUUUUUUUUUUGUCAUGUUUGCAUAUAUUUCUCAUUAUGAAAGUUAUGAGGAAUAAACCAAAAAUAAGACUUUUCUCCGUUGAUUUUUCUUGAAAACGUUGAUGUUUGUUUUUAUUCUUAUUUUUUAAAAAGAGAUUCUUUCUUAUUUUGAAAUCCCAUCAAAAUUAAACUAGUUUAGCAGUUAUCUCAAUUAGUUCUUUUUUUAAUUAAAGCAAGAGGAAUGUCAUAAAAUCCUGAUUUUUUAAAAAGAUAAAACAUUUACUAUCAAAUCGAAAGAUUACAAUAUAUGCAAAUGCAGGGGUCUCGUAAACGUUAGUUUUUAGGUCAAUAUGCAUGCGCGUCUUGUAAACGUUAAUUUAACUCCAAACAUACACCUAAGCAAAAUAAGACUUCGUAAAUUACGUCUUCUAUGGUGUGGACAGUUUUUUUUUUUUAAAAAUACUUGUAAUUAGUAAAGGGGACCAAUAUGCGCGGAAAUUUGACCUAAUAGUUUUCUCUCUGGCCCGAUAAUCGAGGUGCCGUCUCAACCGUUUCACUCCGACGCCGGUAGAGCCAUGGCUCGCCGGCGUCGGGCGUUUCAACCUCCGCGUCGUCCUCUUUCUUUUCGUAUCUGUUCAAGCUCAAGAUCCCGUGCUCUGUUCACUGUUCAUAUGACCCUUUCUUGGUCGAAGUUGUCUUCCAUUUCGUAUUUUUCCGGGGGCUCCCGACUACAGUUUUCACUCCCCUCCUCUACUCAACGCCAUCAACGCCAUAGCUCUGCUGGUCCGGCUUCCGUCAAGAAUCAGAUCUGUGAGGCUCAAUCUUCCUCUCCUCCCUACGUGUCUCCUCGGCUAGAAAGCCCCCUCCGACAUUCGUCUUCCAUACCACCACAAGUCCAACUUCAAGCUUCGGCUUCCGACGUCUACAAACCCGGUGUCCGUGGGGCUCAACAAUUAACUCGGAUUUUAGAUCUGGAAUUUUGUCAGUUGUCUCGGUUGUGUUCACCUUAUGUCUCCUCUAUCACCACUGUCGCUGGACUUCCUACUCCGCUAUCCAUUGUCAUCAUCUCAACCAUAUCAGUUAAACAUCGCCGCUUCUUUGCUCCGCCGUGAUUCCUCGCAGUUCAUCGGGUUCUUUGACCGAGGAAGGCUGAGUCAUUGUGUUCAUGAGAUGGGCUACUUUCAUUUUGCAGUGAGCUUGACAAGCCCAAUAAAGCUCCAAGGCUCCCAUCUCUUCCUAGCAGUUUCACAGCCCACUUUGAUGUGGGGUGGAUUGGUCUCCUUGACUAAUCUUCUAAAAAUGUUUGGUGGAUUCACUAGCGUUUUUACAGAGACAUAUAUACACACAAAGUUUCAUCUCUCUUGUUCGAAGAGUAGCCUUUCUUUCCAUUUACCGGUGGGUUCACCGGGACCAUCAUGUUCAUCCUUUGCUUCCUUUUUAAGGAGUACUUUCCCUCCAAUCUUGUGGAGGUGUUUGUCCAUAUCUAUAACCGUCUUGCUAUCUUGUGGAGCGGUCCGUUCGGGGCCUGAAGAUGCAGCGGGAUUCGUUUCGACGAGUUUCCGAGGUGUGGAUUGGAUGUCAACUUCACAAUUUAAGCUGACUAUUUCUCUGCUGUCCGACCAUGUCGUGAAAGCUACACUGACGCAUUCAAGCACCGUCUUGAGUUCGCUGUCAUCUUCUUCUUUUGAAGACCUAUCCUUUUUAUCUUAUGUUGGUGUAGUUUAUCUUUUCAAUUAAAGCGGAUGGAUAAUUCCCUCUAUUAUUUGUAAUCAAGCAACUUGAACUUAAUGAAAAAGUUGUGUUUCGAAAAAAAAAGAACGAUUUUGCUUUCGACGUGAUGAAUAUUGGAUUUAUCUCUCUGGAUAUUUUUUGUGUGGAAUAAAAACGAAGUCUAUUAUUGCGCUAUAAAGAGAUGGGCAUAGAAGCAUGUUACUCAUCACCAAUUUCCCUUUUCAUUUCAAAGUUAAAUAAGCUUAAAGAAGAAUGAAAGGCUUUUGGAACAUAACGAGUACCAUUUCUCUUACUCUUUCUAUACUUUUCUUAUUCGGCUACAGUUAUGAGGACGUGUCUACGGUUCUUAAUACGCACUUGUGUCGUCCGGAACAAAGGGAUGCACUUCUCCAAUUCAAGACCGAGUUCGAGGUUCUAAACUCUUCCUUUGCUUAUGGUUGUUAUGAUAUCAAUGAUGAUAUACUAGUGUCUCAUGGGAAGACGGACUCAUGGGCGAAUAACAGCGACUGCUGUAAUUGGGAGGGUAUCACGUGCGAUGCCAAAUCCGGUGAAGUGAUCGAGCUAGACCUUAGUUGCAGCUACCUACGUGGCACGUUUCAUUCCAAUAGCAGUCUUCAAAGCCUUCAUUCUCUAACCACUCUAAACCUUUCACGUAAUGAUUUCAAUGGUCAAAUAAUGUCUUCAAUUGGAAACCUUUCUCAUAUCACCUCUCUCGACCUUUCACGUAAUCGUUUUUCGGGUCCACUUCCAUCUUCGAUUGGAAAUCUUUCUCAUCUCACCAAUCUUAACCUUCGUUUGAAUCAAAUUUCGGGCAAGAUUCCAUCUUCUAUUGGAAAUCUUUAUAACCUCACUUAUUGUUGGAAAUCUUUAUAACCUCAAAUUGAGCCUAUUGGACCUUUCUAGGAAUGAUAUUGUUGGAGAAAUCCCAUCUUCUUUUGGCAAUCUAAACCAGUUGACCAGCUUAGAUGUUUUUCUCAAUAGGCUCAAUGGAAGCUUUCCCAUUGCACUACUGAAUUUGACAAAUUUGUCAUCUUUAGAACUCAGCUACAAUCAGUUCACAGGAACAAUUCCUCAUAACAUCACUUCACUAUCCAAAUUGACGACCUUUGAUGCAAGUAACAACGCUUUCACUGGGACCCUGCCUUCUUCUCUCUUCACCAUUCCUUCUAUUGAAUAUGUUAUAUUGUCUGAUAACCAACUCAACGGUAUUCUUGAGCUUGGGAAUAUAUCUUCACCACCUAAGCUGCAAAGGUUAGACGUUAACAGAAACAACUUGAGAGGGCCAAUCCCGGCCACAAUAUCCAAAUUUACCAACCUUGUCGACCUUCGCCUUUCCCACUACAAUGCACAAGGUCCAGUUGACUUUAGUAUCUUCUCGCAUCUCA
rnacentral:lncRNA from 1 species